GGGCAUUCAUUAGCUUCCGUAGAUCUGUGCGUUAAGACAGGGAAGCGGCAGGCAAGGAAAAUAGCUUCAGUCAGCCAAGAACAUCUGAAGAAUUUUUAGCCAGAAGAGCCCUGAAGAGGGGCUCAGGAAGGGUAAGCUGUGCCCAGCCUUUAAGACAUUUGUCUCUCUGUGUGUGUGUGCAGACGCAUGCUGUUUUUAGACUAGCCCGUCCCUGUUCUAAAUAAGACGAUACAUACUGUACUCAAGGACCAGACUUCUGGAUGCGUUUUGCAAAAGGAAUAGAACAAUGCAAUCUGGUACUGUUCUAUCUCAGUCUAUUGUGUUUCAUUUCUUGCUUUUUAAAAGGUUUUUCUGUGUGAGCAUUUAAGUUUAAAACACUAAGCAUGGUUGACCAAGACAGUGCACACAACCAGCUUCCCAUCUCUUCCUUUUGCUACUCUAGGGUGUUUUUAUUUGCCCACUUCCAGAAAGUGUGUGCGUGGUAACCUGGAUAGAUUGUAGAAACUUUGACGUCUUUGUGCUCCACCUCACCCAAAUUCCAAGGAGGUAUUUGCGAUGGGCACAUUAAAUCAGGAUCACAGCAAGAAUGCAUGUCCACCAUAUGCUUCGCAUUCCAUACAGGCAAUCAUUUCUCAGUCACAGGCACUUUCGCACAUGGGGAAAAUCCCUCCUGCAAAACGUAGUUUUGUGAAUCGGCCCAGGCAUCAACUGAUAUGUAAACAGAACAGAAUGAUGCAAAAAGGUGAACAGAGUGGGCACUGAGGGAACCUAGCUUCAAAUCCCUACUUGGUUCAUCUUGGGCUUGGAUUACUGCAAUGUGCUCUACAUGGGGCUACCUUUGAAGGUGACCCGGAAACUACAACUAAUCCAGAAUGCGGCAGCUAGACUGGUGACUGGGAGUGGCAACCAAGACCACAACACUGGUCCUGAAAGACCUGAAAGGCUCCCAGUAUGUUUCUGAGCACAAUUCAAAGUGUUGGUGCUGACCUUUAAAGGCCUAAAUGGCCUCAGUCCAGUGGAGACCUGAAGGAGCAUCUCCACCCCCAUUGUUCAGCCUGGACACUGAGGUCCGGCUCUGAGGGCCUUCUGGCAGUUCCCUCACUGCAAGAAGUGAGGUUAUAGGGAACCAGGCAGAGGCCCUUCUUGGUAGUGGCACCCAGCCUGUGGAAAGCCCUCCCAUGAGAUGUCAAAGAAAUAAACAACUAUUUGACUUUUGGAAGACAUCUGAAGGCAACCCUGUUUAGGGAAGUUUUUAAUGUUUGAUGUUUUAUCAUGCUUUUAAUAUUCUAUUGGGAACCGCACAGAAUGGCUGGGGAAACCCAGCCAGAUGGGCAGGGUAUAAUGUUGGCCUCUGGAUGUUGUUGGACUACCACUCACAUCAUCCCUGACCACUGACCCUGCUGGCUGGGGUUGAUGGGUGUUGCCCAACAACACCUGGAGGUCAUCACCAUGUUGGCCACCACGGUACGUAAUCUCAUCCACCUUGCAGGAUUGUUGUAAUUAUAAAACAGGUGUGUUUGUAGAAGGAACUUCCAUGAACUAGGACUGCGUGGAGACCCCUGAACUGCCUUAUAUAGCCCUGAUCUGUAGACCCUGGAUUGGCCCGAUUCACCCAGUGUUGCCCUGGAGGCCACCCACCAAACCCUGAAGCAAUUUGAGGGUGGUGGGGCUAAGGGGUUUAAACGAGUUUUGGUCCCUGGUCCCCCCAAAUAUUUUAUUGGGGGGGGGAGGCAAAGAACCCUUGACCUCUAGGAAUUGGCUCUUAUGCUCCUACUUAACACCUGUGCUAGGGACGCGGGUGGCGCUGUGGGUUAAACCACAGAGCCUAGGACUUGCCGACCAGAAGGUCGGAGGUUCGAAUCCCCGUGACGGGGUGAGCUCCCAUUGCUCGGUCCCUGCUCCUGCCAACCUAGCAGUUCAAAAGCACAUCAAAGUGCAAGUAGAUAAAUAGGUACCGCUCCAGCAGGAAGGUAAAUGGUGUUUCCGUGUGCAUGCUCUGGUUCACCAGAAGUGGCUUAGUCAUGCUGGCCCCAUGACCUGGAAGCUGUACGCCAGCUCCCUUGGCCAAUAAAGUGAGAUGAGCGCCGCAACCCCAGAGUCGGUCACGACUGGACCUAAUGGUCAGGGGUCCCUUUACCUUUAACACCUAUGUUGCUUCUGGGGGCAAGGAGGAGAGGCCUGCCUAAUCUUCUACUCUACAAAGAUGUAGCUGCCUCAUAGGUUUCUUCUUUUUGCAGUUUCUUAGCCUUCUUCUCAAUCAUGCCUCUCUUUCCUUCCUGCCUUCUGACAGCCCUGGAUGGCUCUGAUCUACUCAACCCAACCUGUAGUGAUCUCGCACUUUCUCCAACCAACUCAAAUGAGGCCCAGAUGCCACCAGAGUUGGCUUGGGAUUUGGGCCUCAAUAGAAUCUGGUGCGUAGCCCUACCAUAAACACCACCUUAGAGGAAAAGCCAUGAUGGAAGUGCAAGAAGUAAGUUACCAUGGCUAAAAACAAACCCAAACCAGAAAGCUAUCCAAAAACAAAGCUGGUGAUUUUCAAGAGGCUGUUAUCAUAUGGGAUGGUGUCAUAAGACCAUCUUACCAGGUGAACGUUUAAAACAAGUCAGCCUUGAGUUUAUGCCCUUUCACAUGAAAGCAAUAUAUGAGUACAUUUCCUUCCCUAGAUGAUCAGGAAAAAAUGGGCUGCUGAGCUUGACUUGUGGUUCCCUUGAAGUACUAUUUACAUACUUGAGCCUCAGAAAUCAAGUCUGAGAAAACUCAGAGCCUCGGCAUUAAACAGGCGGGUAAGUUGAGCUGCUAGGAAUGUUCUGUUUGGAGCUUCUCUGUCAGGUUUUUCGUGUCAGCAAGCCUGACAGAAGAGACAGGCCACAAUUGUUCUCCAGCUCCUCUAAACAUUAGGAUAUACUGCCAAAGAGUUCACACGGUGCAAUGCACCAUUAAACAAUGUGAUAUUGACGUAGGCAGGUGAAUUUGGAAGGCGGCCAUCAUUUUCCCGGUGCCUUCAACCAGCACUAAGCUAAGGUGUGCUGAGGGAAGUGUAGUCAUGGCAGCAACAGGUAAACGCAGAAACCUGAAUAAACAGCCUGGCGUUCCAAGAUCUAAAGCAAGAUGAAACAAAACAGAAGCUCGCUGGAUUGCACAUUUGGACAUUUACCUUGAAAUGUUUGCAUUUGAUUCCCCACACGAGUGGCGACUACUGCCUGCCUGCCAACGUCAGCAAACAACCCCCACAGUGACUCAGACCUUAAUCCUGGUCAUUAAUCCCAUUUGCCACUUGCUCCCUAUCUGUUCCACAAGUGAUGAUGAGUGCCUUGGGGCAAUCUAAUGUAAACUGAUUUUUUUAAAAAAUAACAACCAUAAUAAAUUGCAGCGCCAGGAGAAGGUUAGAUAAUAACUCAAGUGACCCACAUAUGCUUUCCUUUAAGCUGGACUAUAGCAGAUGCUAGCCCAGGGUGAUGCUUGCUUUGAAUCAGAGGAAAUUAAAUCCUAUGGGAGUGUGUGGGCACCUGUCUACAUUUCCAAACCCACGCUAGGAAGACUUAUAGCUCAGUUCUACAGUCCAGAGUGUAAGGGCCCAUAACUCAGGAGGAAAACAUCGGCCUUGCAUGCAGAAUGUCUCAGGCUCAAUCUCCAGCAUCUCCAAAUAGGCCUGGGAAAGAAAGGCUGCCAGAUAGUUGAUACCAACUAGAUAAUACCGAGCUAGACGGACCAAUGGGACUGAAUUAGAACAUAAGAAGAGCCUGUGGGAUCAGGCCAAUGAUCAUCUGGUCCAGCAUGCUCCCUGUGUGAAUCAGAAUGGAGAGCCUAUGUGACAUAGCUGUCAACUUACAGAUUUGAAAAUAAGGGACCAGCAGCCUCAAAAAUAAGGGAUCAGCAGCCAAAAUAAGGGAUUUUCUGAACACAGGUAUGUUCAACUUCUGAGCCCCUCCGAGCCAAAGGCAGAAAGCCCAGCCAGCAGCCAAACGAAGCCUCAAGUGGUGGUUCCCACAGUGCAGCAACCCGGCAAAGGGGAUGCAGCAAGGAAAACCACCGUCACCUCUCCGCUGGGAAGCACUGAGCAAAGGCGAGUUCCCAGGCAACGUGGCCGAUUUGAUCAGCACAAGGCAUGCAAGCUCCACCCCCCAGUGUUCUUAGACUCCUUAUUGGGUGAGCAACGCAGCCAAGCAACACAGUUGGAGCUUCCCUCCUCCCUGGCCGGCUGGCAGGCAGGGAGGGAGAGGAGCUGCUUCCUUUGAAACCCGGGAAAUUUAAAGGACAUCAUCAAUAAGGGACAGCAGCGGGACACAGCGCUGGGAUAAGGGACUUUCCCGCCAAAUAAGGGACGGUUGACAGCUAUGCUAUGUGAGCACAGCAGGCUCCCUGCCUCAGGCCUUUCUCACCAAUGGGGUGAGUGGGGGUGGGGGCCGUGACUCUACUUCCUCUCUCAGGUGCUUGAGGAGAAAAUGCCUGAGAAAAACUAAUGUUAGCAUAGCCUAUACACUUGGAAACUUUGGCGCCAAGUUCUACACACUAUCCCUGUGCAUCCUCUAUCUUGCACUCUUUAUCUUCAAACCUUUAAGGCGAACAAUUCUAGUUUCUAGCCAUACCCUCAAGCAUUCUGCUGGUUAAAACCGGGACAUGUGUCUUUCACUGCCUCCUGUGUGAGCCAGCCCCAACGCCAUCUCCAUUAUCGGCAGCAGCUCUCUCAGAGAGUGCUGAACCAGCUCCUCCCCCUCUUCUCCAUUGUCACCAUCCUCUUCUUCUUCAUCUCCUCCUCUUCUGGUGGGGGCAGCGUGGGGUGGAGGAGGCGCAGUCUCUGGGCCUGGCGGGGGCAGCCUGGCUUGCACCACUAACAGCUCUCCCUUCUUUUGUAUGAAAGACACAUGUAUUUUGGUGUUGAGUUUUUGUGGGAUCCUGCUGACAUUGUCAGGAGGUUGGCACCGAAAACAGGACAUCCAGAUACCAGGAUGGAUUCUUUAAUUCUGGUGAAAUCAGGACAGUUAUCUUGCCAGUUUGUGAACAGUCAAGGCUAUAUCUGAGUGCCUUUCUAAGCAGAUUAUAUCUUGGAUCUUUCUUCUUCUUCUUUUUAAAAAAGCAUUGGGCUCUGUGUCCUUGAAGACAUGGUCCAUGUUUACCAUCAAAACUGAAGCCGAGAUGUCAGAAUAUGUGUGGGAACAUAUUGGAGUGAUACUAGUUACCCAUCCUAGAGCUUCCUCCUGCUACUAAGAACACAAAUAUUCUGACUGCAAGAUAGCCAGAACAAAAAUAUUAUCACAGUUUUUCUAGAACCACAAGCGCUGUGUGUGCUGAUUUUACUGGCUGGAGUAGGCUGUGGCACUGUAAUUUUUCUGCACAUCAAAACUUUGUUAUUUUUAAAGGUCACUAUAGGUUUUUUUUGUCCUGCUUCAGGUGACUCGUAGUGAUUGUGCCACAUCCAGCAUCCUUAAGGGGUAUGGCUGACAUCUGGGAGGCAGGAGAGACACAGUUGCUAAUUGCAGAAUAAUCAAUGGGGCGCUGAAUGCAAUUAUCGAAGAUGCUGGGAGAUUCUGCCGUUUCACGCUGCCGUCUUUUUUUGUACCUGUGACAUCCCAUGCUGCGCUUGUUCUGUUCAUGAUUGCCACUUUAGGGGAAAGAAAGUCGUUUAACAGAAGGGGAGGGAGCCUGCGGCGAGGAGAACGUUUUCUCAGAUAAUUAGAUUAUAAUUAUUAGCUCUGCGCUUUCAUCGAUAUGCUUCAGGAGCAUCAGCAUGAAUGUGUCCAUCUAUGAAUACAAGGGAAGGGGGAAAGAAGCCAUGGCAGCUACAGCAGAGAUGGGGAACUGGUGGCCUCCAAUGCCCACCAGCCCUUGCCAGCAUGGCCAAAAGUCAGGGAUGGUGGGAGCUGCAGUCUAGCAACACCUGGAGGACCGCAAGUUCUCCACCUUUCAUCCACAGCUCUAAAUCAGUUUGUCUAAAAGUCAGUUUUCCUUAGCCUAGUGCCCUGUAGAGGUUUUGCACUCCAAUUCCUAUUAGUUCCAGCUAGCAUGGCCAAUGGUCAUGGAUGACGGAAGGCGGCUGUAGUCAAAACCAGCUGGAGGGAACCAGUUUGGAAAAGGCAGCUUUAGACAGUGGAGAUGCAUUUGGACACCCCAGUCCUAUGUUAGCAGUGCAGUCCAUUGCCUGUGCUGAUAUAGCAUUAGUAUGAUCUUAGGACCAGGUAGUUAGGGCAUCAGUCAGGGACUGGGCCUAGUCAUUGGAGCAGUUCAGUGAAGCACUGCCCUCAUUCUGUGUCCUUUGUGUUUCUUAUCCAAUGCCAGGAUUUCAAAUUCGAAAAACGCAAACUUCGAAAUGCUCUGUUCAGUUUUGUAUGUGCCCCUUUUAUUUCAAGCAUCUGGGAUAGCUCAGUUGGUAGAGGAUAAGACUCUUAAUCUCAGGGUUGUGGAUUCGAGCCCCACGUUGGACAAAAGAUUCCUGUAUUGCAGGGGGUUUGACUAGUUAACCCUCGUGGUCCCUUCCAACUCUACAAUUCUAUAAUUCUAUGAGUUUUAGACUUUUGUCUGGGCUCCUGUCCCAAACUGUCCCAGUGCCUUGAUAAUCCUUGCUGAAAAAAACAACCCAUUAGGGCAAUUCAGCCCACAAGUUGUGAUGAAACAAUUGUGCAACAUUAAUGCCAGAACCCAGGGCCCAUCCAGUGAAGCAGAAUGUGGGUGAUUCAGGAAAGACAAAGGGAAGUAGUUAUUCAUGCAUCAACAUAGGUAAACAAUGAGCUCACAAGUUGUGACAAUUAUCAGGUUAGGUGAUUUUAAAGGGGAAUUAGAUAAAUCAUGGAGGAUAAAGCUAUAGCAAUGAUGGUUGUAUAUGAGGGGUAUUCAGCUAACCCCAAGAUUCAGCUUGAUGGGGAAGAAUCCCAAUCUUUUUCAGUUCUGCUCAGCUUCAUUCAGUUUCAGUUAGUUAUUUGGAUCCCAAUCGGAUUUGCUAAAACCAAAGUUCUGCCCUCACUCAGUUGACUAUAAUAGGGAAUCUAAAACCAGCUGUGAUGAUGUUCUGUACUGUUUACAUAAGUAGAUGGAAUUUGUAGGCAAAGGAGCUCUUCCAGGGUGGAUUAAGUCGACCAAGUUUCAGGCACACCAUCCAGGGGUUUUCAGGUAGGGAACCUUUAAAAAUGUAUUUCCUUUCCUUAAAAGAGAAAGAAGUCCCUUACCUUUUUUAUUUUCUGUUAAAAUUGGAUGCAAAUUGCAGAGAAAGCUCUGCUUCUGAGGGGAUGAAACCUGCUUUUUUCAGGGUUCUCAGUCACAUGGCCAGUUUGUACAUGCGGAAGAUAUAUUAAUAUAAUUAACGGAACACAUGUGGGUUGAGAGAAUGGCCUUACACUAUUUGUUCAACCUGGAUAGAGCAGAAUUAGUGUCUUCCAGGAAUGGGGCACAAACUGAGUAUCUUCUGUCUCUCUCUCUCCACAAGUAGUGGGAUAUGUAUACUGACUUUUAAAAAAAAAUCUGUUUGCGAAUCUUGCUCCCUAAAGAUUUGUAGUUCUGGUCUAGCAUUCUCUCUGUGAACCACUGUGUCCCAUAUGCUUUUCAUGUCUCAGCCCCUCUCUUCCAAAAGCCUUCUCAGGUGCAGUAAGAUGAUGGCAAGCAAAUGUGACUUUGGGAACCACACAAAGAUUCCAGGCUAGCUCUGCCUUGAAAGAAGCGGCACUGUGGCAAAUAUGACUUCCUUCUUUUUCAAAGCAAAACAAAGCACGCCAAUAGAAGCUAAGAGAUGGAGGGGAAAAUAGAAUACCAAAGCUCAAAGCAAUAUCUGCAUUGUGCUUCUCACCAGUGCUCUGCAGAAGUGCUCUUCCACAUGUGAAUCAGGAACAUCACCACAUAAUGAAGUCCUGCUGAAUGGAUCUGCUUCCUCAUGUAAUUUGAGCCGAUCUCACAUUGUCCUUUCACCUGUGAGUCAUGGAAAAGAGCUCUCUGUGCUAAAACUGUUCAAGUGGUUUUCCCCGCCAAUUCCUGGGUGAUAUAAUGCCCCUUAUUCUGCCCCUGGAAAGUAUACCAUCUCUUUGAAUGCUUGGCUCCAUUGGACUAUCUGUAAUUCCCCUACCUCCUUGGAGGCUGCAUGUGGACAAAAGGAGCUGGCAGGAAUUGCAACUAGCAGGGAAGAAGAGCCAGUUUGUUUUUAAUUGCACACCUUGUUCCUCAGAUAACUCACGGCAACGUCUAUCACGUUAUGGGAACACAGGAAGCGGGCCUUAUUCUGGGACAGAACACUGGUCACUCCUGCUUAAUAUUGUCUACACUGACUGGAUCAGGUGUACUAGUUUCUGCCUCACAUUGGGUGUGCUUGGCACACGUGUGACGUCACGUGCACCACAUGCAUGAUGUCACAUGGCGCAAUGCAACCCAACACAGUGUGUGCAUCACAUCACAUGGUGCAACGGGAACUGUUGGGGCCUGCUGCACUCUCCUGCAGCUGCGACAAGCCUCAUCGGGCAACGCAUUGGGUUGCCCAACCAGACACCCAGGGAAUGUUCCUAGUAUUUCCUGGAGAUGUCAGGCAUACAAAGCAGAUGUUCUCUCAGUAAGAUGCAGGUGCUCCCCAUUUCAGCUAGGAUGUGGUUCUCAACCUGUGGGUCCCCAGAUGUUGUUGGACUACAACUCCCAUCAUCCCUCAGCUCUGGCCUUGCUAGCUAGGGGUGAUGGGAGUUGUAGUCCAACAACAUCUGGGGACCCACAGGUUGAGAAAGGCUGACUAGGUUAUCCCUUGUUAUUCAUUCAGCAAUUUUUAAAACUGUAUAUUAGGUAGAGAGAUAGUAGUUUGUCAUCCAGGGAUUUGUGUAGCUGGCUGCAUCAAAACGGAGGAUAUUAUACCCUGUCUGUGUGUCUUCUGUAGAAGCUGCUUGGAAUUUGUACACAUAUUUGCUUUGUUUGGUCAAGUGCGUUGUGUUGUGGGACAGUGACCACACCUGCCUGCCUUUUUACUUACAACCAGAUCAGAGGAUGGCCUGCCUAUCAGAUUCCUCCUCCUUUAAUCUCAGAGUUGCUCCUUGUAAGGAGGAUGGGGACAUCUGUCUCUGGCGCCACCUACUGUUGGUCUUCCUGUCUUCUGCCCUACCAAGUUCCAAUGGGCACCAGUCACUACAGGCAAUUUUGUCAACUUAAAAAACAACAACACAGCCUAUUUAGGAAAAGACACCCUUAUUCCAGACCGUGCAAGUUUCCCUAUUUUCCAGGGAUGUCCCUGAUUUAGAGAAGCCAUCCCAGUUUCUUGUUUGAACCCAGAAUGUCCCACUUUUCAUUAGGAUGUCUCUAUUUUCAUUGGAGAAAUUUUGGAGGGUAUGGAGUUAUCUGACCCCUGAGCUGUCUGAAGGCAAUUACAUUUGCUAAAAGCCACGCAGGAGGGGGGAAAGACCUGCUGAUGAUACAUGUUGACUCCCUGCUUUUAUUGGCAAACUUGCCAAAACGUUGAGCACACAAACAGUUUACUGAAAAUCUUUUGAUUUUCCAGACAGGAAAAGGCUGCACUGUACAGCCAGUUCUCUUGGGGCAGCUCUUAGCUUCCCCUCUUGUUUUUCAUUUAAUUUUAGUUGUAGCUAUCCAACACUUUUAAUUCUAUUAAACCAGAGACAAAAGAACCAAGCAAUACAAUUUGAUAAUUUCAUGAAAGGAAAAAAGUUAUGUAGGACCAUAAUUGUGCAGCUUCAUAAAAUGACGUUGGGAAAAGAUGCAGAAAUGUAUUUGAGAAGCAGAAGGGGAGGAAAGAGGAGGCAAGGAUAAUAAGCAGCAAAAGCCCUGUGUCAGGGAUGGUGUACCCUUGGUUGACCCUUCUGACGUUGCUGGACUCAUUCACACCAUAUAUUUAAAAUGCUGCAAUACCAUUUUAAACUGUCAUGGCUUCCCCCACAGAAUUCUGGGAGCUGUAGUUUGAUAAAAGUGUUACGAGUUGUUAGGAGACUCCAAUUCUUCCCCCCAGAGGUACAAUUCCUUGAGUUCUCUGUGAAAUGCCAACAUCUGAUUGUUAAACCACUCUGGGAAAUUGUAGCUCUGGGAGAGGAAUAGCAAAUUAAGCUUAAGGCUGGACACAGGGUGUUUCUUUCAUCCGGAACUCGCCGGAACUCAGUUCCAGCACCUCUCAGGUGGGCGUCUCCCAGGUGAGUUCUGGCACCUCUUUUUCUAGUAAAAUAGCAUGUCCCUGGAUAUGUGAGAAACUGAGAGAACCUGAAAUUGACAGAAUUGGCCAUCCCUAAUUGAGAGUAAGAGGAGAUAAAUGUGAGUAAAUGUUGGCAUUUUUAUCCUGCUCUUCAGCUGAUAAGGGCUCCCAAAGAUGCUUAUUUCAGGUAAAAUACAGUCCCUGCCUUCAGGUCCACUGUUUAAGUGACAUGAUACAAAGGGGGGUGGAAUCUGGAAGAAGGGGAGGAACAAGACACGAUGUUUUAGCUACAGAAAUCCUGUCAUGAACAGCAGGACUGGGAAAAUCUGGAGAGGAAGCGAAAUCCCACCUCAAACAGCAGUGUUAGAUCAGUGUGGUGCAAAUGGGGUUAUCCCAGUUAAUCCUCACAAUAACAGCCCAAAGUCAUUGCUCCACUGAAAUCAGAGGAAGAUACAUAUUUUUACAGAAUGUGUAAAACUUGGUUGUGCAGGCCUAUUGAUUUCUUUUGAUCAAUAUCUAUAUGCAUUUUACUGCAGCUGAACCAGAGAUAUUCGGAAGGAGCAUGUCUUGAGCUCCUGGAAGAAGUACAGUACUUUGUUAAUAAAGAUGGCGCCUGAGACCGCUCUGGAGAAAGGGAAGGGGGAAUAUUUUUCAUUAACAGGUUGUUGUUCUACAUUAACAGUCUUGUUAACCAGUUACAUAUUUAAAGGUCCUUUGUCUACCACUUGUUCUGGAGGAGAAGAUGAACGCGUCACAGUGGCACACAAGAUCUGAAACUGGUCAUUUCCCCCACUUUUUUUCUUCUUUUUUUUUUGCAAUUCAGCCCAUCUCUUUUAUCUAGCGGAGGAGCUGUGAGCUUUCUGCUCUUUUGUGCUCCAUGAAAAAGAGCCAGCAACUAACUCCCCGUGGGCAUGCACAGAUGGAUUUAGUUCCUGCUCUCAGCAAACAAAAAGUACUGGGUGUGUAGGCAUUAGAACAGAGGGUGCAAUAGCCCCAAAUGUUAGAGAAUUCUCUUGUCUCCUUCUGCCCUUUGCAAAAAUUUCCAAAUUGCCUUCCAAAGAUUAAGGUUUGUCAUAGUCUUGAGAAUAAGAGAAAACAACAAACAGGAAUCAACCUUGUGUGUACACUGAGUUAACAAACAAACCAAAUAGGAUUCUGCACCUAGGUAACAAAUUCCACCCAAAGCUGUGGCCUUGUAGAUGCUGUUUAGCCCCACAUGGCUGCUGUACCUACAGUUGUGUGCAGUGCUUUCACCAGGCUUGGGACUGCACAAAGAGACCUUAUACACAGAACAUUUUGCACCAACAAAGAGAACAUAUUGAUGGUUAAAUGGAAGUUUGCUGCCACAGUCCUGUUUUGUUCUAUGCACAUUCCCUGCAUGCACCUGAGACUGUGUAUAUAUUUUAAAAUUGCUUUUAUACCCUGCCUUUUUCUCCAAGGAGCUCAAGGUGGCACAUUUAAUCCCCACCACAACCCUGUGAGAUAGGCUGAGAGGCAGCGACCCAAGGUCACCCAGUGAGUUUCCCAAGGAUUAGAACCCUGGUCUCCUAGGUCCUGAUCCAACACUCUAACCACUACACUAUGCUGGCUGAUUUGUGCUUAGACAAAAAAACAUGCAUAUAGGCAUGCAGUGUAAAUGUGAUGGAAAGCCAUUCACCAAAAUUAAUUGGUUGAAACAAUGUAUAUUGCACUUCCUAUUGUCUGUAUGCCUUCAUCCUAAAGUAGUAUAAAGCCUUCUGUGAUUUUGCAAUUCAUUUGUCUAAUUUAUUUUCAUUUUGCUAAUCCUAGGAAAGGGGAAAGACUCAAAGUUCUUAUAUCAAGAACAGGAGAAGCCCAGGUCAGGGAACAGAUAACAUCAUCUCCUCCACUGGCCCUCAAUAGCCUCUGUUGUUCUACAUUCUGUAGCAUUCAUUGGUUGUACUGUUUUAAAAUUGUAAAUCACCUUGGGUGCCUUGGCUUACAAUCCAUUUCUCCCUUAGGUUCCAGAAGUCAUUUCCCAUGUGCUUUCAACCACACCAUUGUACACAUUGGAAUCUAUCUUGGAAUUUUAACCAAGAUUGGUAGAGAUCUGCCUUUUCUAAUAAAACCUGACAUUUUCAGGAAGCUGAAUUCCAUGACCAACACAACAUUCCUUGCCUCUUUUGUGCUCCCACAAGAACCACAGCCUAAUAUAUAUAUCCAGUGGCGGACUUACGUUUUCAGGGUCCCAAAGCUCAAGCUUCAUGAGGUUCAUGCAUAUACCACUGAUGGUAAAUUCUAUCCUGGGUAGAUGGAGGCUGGUCCAUUAAGGCAAAGGGGACUUUGCCCCAUCAGCCAAAGUCUGUCCUCAGUCAGCCUCCACCUGCUAACCUCCUUACUGACAUCUGUCCUAGGAGGUGGAACAGCCUGUCAUUUUCCUCCCCCUCAGUCUCAGGAUUGCUGUUGUGGAACUCAAGAGGUGGGAGGAUAGGGGCAAAGCCAGAAUUCAUUGGAGUUUCCUGCCUUAGGCUCUGGGUCCACCUCCUUUCUGCCUUCCACCCUGCCUGUUCCAGCUAUUCAUAGAUGUUCAUGCUAUUUGUGUGCAAGUGCGCAUCAGAGUGAGUGCAUGCGCACAGAAGAACCCCAAUAAAGGUGGCCUGACAAUCAUGCAUUUUACCUGUGCAAAUGUUCAUUGUAAGCACAUUUCAUAGAGUCCCCGUAUUUCAAAAAGUGAAAGUUGUGGGGUUCCCCGCCCCCCGAAGCUGUUGAGCUUCUUUUAGUUUUGCACAAAGUUGUUGAGCUCUUUGUCGGCAAAAUCUAGACUUCCAACAUGGGUUGCCAUAUGUCUGGAUUUUUCCGGACAUUUCAGCAUUUUCCACCCAGACCCUGCUUCCGACGGCUGUAUUCUGGCUGUGUCCAGGAAAUUCCAGAUUUAUGGCAAACCUAACAUAUCACUGUGUGAGUAGUUGAUCCCUUGGUGACUACAUGUACAAAGUGGUCCUCCAAACUUUUGUAAAGGUGUCAGUGUGGAGUAGUGCAAUUUCUCUACCCAGCACAUGCUGCUGAUCUUUAGCAGUUCAAGAUGAGUUUCUCCAGGUCUGUUACCUACAUCAUCCUCUUUGUGCUGCCAAGUGGGAUCCCAUCCAAAAGCUAACUUACACCAGCAGGCAUAAUUAAAUGGACUGAUCGCAUGAGUAAAUACACUGAACGCAUGUACACUGAACAGAUGACGAUUAUUAUUUAUCAAAUGUAUAUACUGUCCUUCAUCAAGAAACCACAGGGUUCUUUACAAUGUAAGACACAAAAUACAUAAUACAAUAACAGUAAAACUGGAAAAAGAUAAUCCCCUCCACCCCCGGUUUAAAAUACCAUAGACUGAUUAAUAGCUGAAGGCCUGGUUGAAGAGGAAUGUUUUCAUCUGGCACCUAAAGAUAUGUAAUGAAGGCACCAGGAGAACCUCCCUGGGGAGACCAUUCCACAACUGGGGAGCCACUGCAGAAAAGGCCCAUUCUUGUGUUGCCGCCCUCCGGAUGUUUCAUGGAGGGAGCACACGAAGAAGGGCCUCAGGUGAUGAUCAUAAGGUUGGUUCAUGUGGGGAGAGGUGGUCCUUGAGGCAUUGUGGUUCUGGGGCACAAUAAGCUUUCUAGGUCAAAACCAGCACUUUGAAUUGGGGCCGGAAACUCAUAGGCAGCCACUGCAGUCAGGCCAGGAUUGGUGUUAUAUAUGCUUAAAUCAUCUUGUCUGGGUGAGCAACCUGGCCAUUGAAUUCUGCAGCAGCUGAAGUUUCUAAACCAUCUUCAGAGGCAGCCCUAUAUAUAACACAUUGCAGUAAUCUAACCUAGAGGUUACCAGAGCAUAGACGACAGAAGUCUAGAAAGGGGCAGGGGUAGACUAUUUAGUGUGGUUCCAUCAUUUGAUUUUAUGAGGAUGUACGAACACUUGGAGGCGAUGGGCUGCCUUUAGUGAUUUUGUUGUGUGUGUGAUGACAUUGGUGUGGCUUUACCAGGGGAAUAUAUUUUGCUUAAAAUGCCGAAGACUUUUCAGAUGUCCAGAAGUACAUGCAAUGAACACAGCAGUGAGGCAGCAGGCCUCAGUCGAUAUAGUACAUUCACUGAAUGCCUGGACAUAGCUCCCACAUGUGCAGCUUAAUGGGCAGGGACUGGUGCUGUCCCAGUACAUUUUGGCACCUGAGGUGAACCACAGAAUGGUGCUGCCUGUCCCCCUCUCACCAGGGAAGAAGGAGUGAGUGAAGAUAUACAUCAGGAAGAAGGGGAAAAUAAAUAUCUAUAUCAGGAACAAGGGUGGGAGAAAAUCAGAAGGGCUUUCCAUUUGCCUAGAGCCCACAGUACAGGUGGCAUUGCAGGGAGAGGAACCACCAAUGAGGCAGCAGAUCUGGCCUCCAAAGAGAGUGCCGCCGCUGUCACUGCCACAGUAGCAGUGGCAGGGGGGUGCUGUAUUCCCUGGAGGCUGGAUUUUGCUGCCCCUGUGCAUCCUGUCACCCAAGGCAGCUCACCUUGCCUCAUGGAUAGGCCAGCUUUGACAGGAACUCUGUUUAGGCCAGGGGUGAGGAAGGUGUGUUCCUCCAGAUGUUGCUGGACUCCAACUCCCAUCAGCCCCCAGCCAGCAUGGGCAAUGGUCGCGGAUGAUGGGAAUUGUAGUUCAACAACAACAGGAGCGCCACAACUUCACCAGCCCUGUAUUAGGCAAAGAAAUGUACCAACCAGGUGAAAAGUUCACCUCCCCUCAUGUACAUAUGCGAUUCUCAGUUGUACUAUGUGGCUUGGCAGUGGCUUACUGGGAUUAGGAAAGAUUUCCUUCAGUCUCCCAGCUUCUCAUUCGUAUGACCUCACACCCAGGCAAUUGUCUGGUUGUGGCAGUGUUGUGGUUGAUUACAGGUCACAUUGCACCAUAAUAUUAAUUAUCCCUUAGGGAUGCAUGGGGAUGCGGGACGGAUCCUGCUCUAGAGAAAGAGUGUGACCUGGAUGACCUUCCUGCAUUUCUGUGAUUAUGUGGUUUUAUGAGCAUGUGCAAUUAACUUGAGUCGCUCCUAUAAUUUCAACCCUGUGAGAUUAAACUGAAUUUGAAGAAAAUAUGAUCAGCAGUAGGGAAACAUACCUCCCUUCCAUGGGGGAGAUCAUACACUUCAUUCCUGCCUCUCCCUGCCCUCUCGUUCCCUCUUUUGCUGCUGUGACAAUUUUCUGAACUUGCUAAAGACAAAGGAGAAAAAUGUUUGCCAAGAGCAUUUGAAGGAUUUGGGUAAUGAAAAGGUGAGCAACCCAAGCCAAUUAGAAUCUUUGCGUCUAAGCAUUGGGUGGUAUGUUUUGAAAUUGCUGUCUUUCCUGCGUUCAGGUUUAGCAUGUUUCAAAAAUAAUCUGGCAUUAGGAGGUACUUCUUGGGUGGUGGGAAGGCAAAAGGGUAAGAACUGGGAAGUUGGAGUUCACAUCCUUGGCACUGUUUGUUUGGUUAUUGCACGACACUGCUUGCACUCUUUAGUAUAGAGCAACUGCAAAAUUGUAGCCACCUCUAAAACGCCAAAAAUGUCUACCAGAUUUUAAAUGUCAUAUAAUGCAAGGCAUGAAUCACAAGACAGAUAAUGUUUCUGAAGGCAAAACAUUAUUUUUUUUAAGUGGAGGAAGAUGGUUAUGUCUUUAAAAUAAGAAAGUCUCAAAACAUGCACGAUUGUCUUGCAGAGACUUGGGGGUGUAAGUGGGCUGAUGAUGAAUUAUUUUUAGUCCUAAAAUGUGCAGACAUUACAUAGUUGUUGCAGGAGAUCUAAAUUAACGUCACUGUUUCUCCAGGUUUGAAUUCUGUUGUUUUAACUUUCUCAUUGUGGCUUCUAUGGUGCUAACUGAGCGCUUCCUGCCUCUGUUGCUGUCUCCUGUCAGUCUUUGGCAUGGCAGAUCACUGCUCCAUCAACUUAGCAUUGUCUACACUGAGUCGCAGCAACUUUUAAGGGUUUCCAGAUGAGGGACAUUUCCAUCCCUACCGAGAGAUACAAGGGAUCGGGCGCCUGGGGUGGCGCGUGUGCCCUGUGCCCAGGGACGGGGCCAGCCACCUGCGGGGUGGGGCAGGGCAAGCCAGGGCAGGACAUUCUGCGGGGCCUCCGAGGAGCCUCCUCCCACUCAGUCACCCUACAGCUAAGGGGAGAUGGCGGGCAGACCGUUUGGGGUACCGUGAAGCCUGCGGGCGCCCAAGCCACCAUGUCAUUCUCAGGAGAGACGCAUGGCUCAGGCGCGCUGGAGACCCUGUGGUGAAUGCUGCCUGGCAUUUUGUCACCCCCUCAGUGGUGACACCCAGGGCGGACUGCCCCCACCACACACCCCUUCCUCCUUCCCUGAGCAGGGAUUGAUCCUGAGUAGGGGAGUUGUGGCCUGUUUUGCUCCACCCCACUGCUGUCCUGCUCCCUUGCUGCUAUCUCACCCCUGGUGCCUCUCUUACCUGUGUUGUGCGGCAGUGGCGGCACCUGUGAAGCACUGGCAUUGGCAUCCAUGAAGUGCUAGCAGUGGCAACGGUUCUGGUGGUAACUCACAAGAUUUUGUCAGAUUUCACUGAAAUCUCACUGGUGCUGCUGGAGAUGGCAGGGGGCAGGCAGCGCAGGUGAUGUAGGUGACAUCUCUUGGGCUUCUACUGCUAGGCCUGAUCCUGAGACCUUCUGCAUGCAAAGCAGUUGCUCUACCAGUGAGCCCUUCCAAUUGAUUAUGCAAAUUCUGAUCAAUGCUAAUUUUUCACUCAUUCUUUUCUCCAGCUUUGUGAAGUAUAGAUGACUGAAAGUUAAGGUUGUUAAUCAAAAAGUGUGAGAAAAGCUGACAUCUGUGAGAUGAAUUUUCUUGAAAGAUCUGAGGUGGGUACUUUCAUGGAAUCAUUGCAGAGAUGGAAGGGACUAUGAGGGUCAUCUAGUCCAACCCCUUGCAAUGUGAGAAUCUUUUGGCCAACUUGGAGCUCAAACCCACAACCCUGAGCCUCAUGCUCUACUGACUGAGCUAUCUCAGCUAUAAGAAGCUAUUUGACAGUGCUGGAGGGAGAAGUCAUUUGUUAUUGUUCCCCAUCUCUUUUUUCUUCUUCUUUUUGGAGAUCUAUGUUAAAAGAAAAGCUACUUAAUCUUUCAUUAAUAUUCCUGACUUUAUCUAAUUAAUUUUUAAUGUUAAUAGUAAUUAGAAGGGAUUGAAAGUCUUGAAGGUGAAACAUUAAUGGGAGUCUGCCCAGUGGAGUUAUAUUUAAUUGUGAUUUUUAAAAAACAUAUACAUAUCAGAAAGGGUUCAUUAGCUGGACUCUUUUCUUCCCCCUUAUCCCAUGUGCUGCCAUCCUAGCAACCUCAUUAAUUCUGACUUUACUGAAUAUAGAUUUGUUGUGAUGGGCUCGUUUUUAUAUACGGUUUCUCUCGCCUAGCCACAGAUGCAUGUCUUGGCUAAGUGAUAAGGCACCCUGCUAUACUGGCAGGUUGAAACCAGAGUGGCUUUAAGCACAGUUCAAAACAUGGGAAAGGGUGGUUGUGGCACCACAUUGCCAGAUUGCACUUUAGAACAUCAUCACAGCAUUAAUCAUAUUGCCAUCUGUGUGUGCAGAUCUCUAGAAUCAGGCUCUGAAAACUAGUGCCAGGGUCAUUUGGUGCCUGCUUAAUUCAAAUUUAUAUACACUCUAAGCUAGGGAUGGGCAAAUCUGUCCAUUUUGGUUUUCCAGUUUUCCAAUUUUAAGUUAGAGUUCUCUACAUUUCUGCAUAGGUUUGUGAUUCUUUAUUUUUUUUUUUAAGUUCUUGUGUGAAUUCACCAGCAUUUUAGUGCAAAUUAUCUCAUGAUACACAUUUGUAUGCAAUUUUGCUAAAUGCACAUUUUUACAGAGCAAUUUCCCUUACACAGCAGAGGUAAGCCAGUGUGGUACCCUACAGAUUCUUCUUCCUAUCAGCCCCAGCCAACAUGGCCAAAAAUCUAAGAUGAUGGGAUUUGUAUUCCAACAAUACUUGGAAGGCACCACAAGAAGUGUAUUUUCCAAAAACGAAAAUUAAAGAAGUUCUGCUUGGGUGAUAAAUGUUAUAUAGUGCUACAUGCCACCCUAAUCUUCAAAUGCUGCAAGACUCCAGGGGUCCCAGGGUUUGUGUUUCCUUUUGGGAAUGAGGCACAUCGGAGACCGUGGUGCCUUUAUGAUGGAGGGGUUCACAGCAUUAACUCCUCAAAAGGGUAUUGUUUCUCCCAUAGCCACAGCCUUGGACUCAAGCAGAAAUUAGCCAUGGCUUUUUUCUCUUCCUUUCUAGCCUUUAGCUUCUUCCUUUAGCUCACAUCACAGCCAAUUCUGCCCUAAAAAAUAUAGGUUUUGUUCUUCUAACCAUUAGAGAGCUGGAGGAGGGCCCCCAACCAUCUGACCUCUGGCACAGAGCCCUCUUUCUUCUGGUCUCUUAAUGGCCCCUUGCUAGGAUUAUAGGGAUUAGAGGUCUGGCACCCACAAACGCAUCACAAUAGGAAUAGUUCAUUGACGUUUGCUGUUUUAUUAGUUAAGAAAGAGAAAGCAGUCACUCAUUAAUUGCUUAUCCCGCUUUGACAUUUGCUUUAAAUGUGAAUGAGAUCUUUACCUAAGGUUCACCUAGGUACACACAUAUUUCAUUCAUCCAUUUCUGAACUCCUUGAAGCUAGCUGAGUCUUAAAGUAACAACCUACAAGAGCCUUCCCCCAAGUUGGCUCUCUGUGAAUGUUGUUGCACACCAAUUCCCAUGGUCCCUUGGCACCGGCCAUGUUACCAGGGGCUUAUGGGAGUUGUAGUCCAUAGUAUUUGGAGGACACAAGAUGGGGAUGGCUGACAUAAAGCAUCACCUUUUUCUCUCUCCCCAGAAGUUGUUGUAUCAGUAGAAAUAUACAUGGCAAUAAUGGCAGCAAGAAAUUUAUAAAACAAUGCCAAUAAACGCAAUGCAAUCAAAAACAGCAGUUGAUUGAAUUCAUCUAAAAACAGCAGCAUAAUUACAUGCUAAAAGCGUGCUGAGAUUAAAAAAAAAAAUGAUUUCAAUUUCUCUCCGAAAGACAAGAGAAAGACUGUGGAAUCUCACCAGAGACUGGGAGCUGCAGUAUUGAUGUGAAGGGGCACUGCAGAACAAAAGGGGAUGUGGUGAUGAGCUUCUGUCAUUGUUUCCUGUGCCCAGACAUUUGGGCAUUUGAGAUGGGGAAACCUAACUUCAUUGGCUUCCCUGCAUCCUUGAAACUUACACAGCAACAAUUCCAUGAUCUGGAGUAUUCUUCGCUCAUUGGAUUUCCUGCCCCAGACAAUCGUGCUGAUGCAUGGGUGAUGGGACGGUGUCUGUGUGGGAAAGCCACAUGUCAGAGGUGGGUGCAGAGGCACAGCCCCACAGCCCCUUUAAUCACACAGUGCCCCUUCACACAAGUAACUUGUCAAGGGGGCUAUGCAUAUGAAUGCAUUUGUCAUUAUAUCGGUGGAGAAUAAUGGGUAGAAGAGAUUAAUGACCAAGCUAUUAUUCAGCUGAAGGAUACCGAUAAUAUCAUAAACUUCCAGAGGAAAUCUUGUGCAGGUUGAGAUACCAUCAGAUUAUCCUGUGAUUGAAUUACAGCUUUAGCAAUCAAUCAUUUGCUUCCCUUCCCUUCCUCCCUUCCCCCCUCUCUCUUUUUAGGAAAACACCGUGAUUUCCUUUAUCUUAGCGUGUGGAAACCCACUUCUUAUUGGAGACCUUUUUUAAAACAAGGAUCCAUUAUUUUAUUUUGUUUUUAUUUUUGCCCUGUAGUUGUAUAUUAUAUAGUGAUGACACUAAUGAAGAAAUAUUACUUCAUUAUGUUUUAAGGAAUGCUUGGCUUAGUGCAUCUGAUGAGCGUUUCCUUUUCCUUUCCAUAGAGUUAGGUUGGCUGAGACUUUCUUCUGCCCUCUAACGAAACCACACCAUUUCAAUCCAAAACAUUUACUUUUCUGUCCUCUAAGACUAAUAUUGGUGUCUGCUUGUAAGAGGGCCGAAAGAUCAUGAUCCUCCUACUGGAUUUCCCUCUCCUUGCUUUAUUGACUUAUGCCUACUCCACAUGUUAUUAUAUUACUUACAAUUGUCAUAGUCAAGUAUGAAGGGAGCAUAUAUGGGAUAACAAAUGGAUUCUGGGUCUUUCCAGUUCUCAGAGAAGGCCAUGAAGUGGCAGGAGGAAAUAUAUCAAGGACGGGUUUCCUGUGAAGGGCUAGCCCACAUUUCUGCUGUAAAAUGGCUGCUUAUCCAUCAUUCCUGCACACUAAAGCAAACCAAAGAAAACACAUUGUAGGGGUCAGUCCUACAUUAGUUAUGAACCCAAGGAAGAUGAAAGUCUGAUGGAAGAAUGAUUGUCACCAAGCUCUGAGAAGGCCUGUGGAUUUAUCUUGGUUGUGAGAGGGCCAGAGAACAAAUUAUCCAAUCAGUCGCAAAGUUUUGAUUUUUUCCAUCUUCUCAUGGACAGCCUAUACUGAUCAGAGUCCUUAGGAAGGCAGAGGAAUGGGAACUUGUGUCAUCUUUCUAGUAAUCCAUUUCAUUAGCAAAACAUCACAGUGGCCUGACAGCAUGAUGUAUAUACACAAGAUGUGCUAAUUCAGCAGUAGUGCCCCAGCUCCUCUGCUCCCUCAUCGAUACACUAAGCCUAGACAACUGGGUCUUGCAUCUUCCAAGGAAGUUCCAUGCACUCUAGUGGCUAACCUCCCCAAAAGGCAAAGAUUCUGAUGCAACUGAUUAUUCAUUAAUCACCACUUAUCUAGGACCACAUUGACUGGAAAGAAAAACGAUUGCUCGGCCUUGCAUUAUGGAACAGCGUGGGUUCACCCCAGACACAUAGGAAGUUGCCUUACACUGAGACAGACCAUCGCUCCAUUUGGUCUCCAUUUGGUCUCCACUGGCUGGCAGCAGCUCUCCGGGGUUUCAGUCUGGUCCUAGCCCCUGUCUUACUUGGAGAUGUUGGAAACAGAAUGUGGACCUUUUUGCAUGCAAAACAUAUGCUCAGCUAUGACCCUUCAAAAUAAACUGACUCUUCCCAUUCAAUUCACACACUGCUAUUUAGCUCUUUGGCCAUGUUCCUCUCUGUGUGAAAAAUACAUGAUAUUCCAAAGAAGAAAGAAAAACAAUACAAAAAUACAAUGUCGCCAAACCUGAUAAAAAUGUUCUCUCUCUCGCUUUUGCCUUUACAAAUCAUUACUUCUGCAAUUAUCAUUACUUAUAUUUGUUCUAAAGAGGUGCAGAACUCAUUAUGUAUCUGUAAUAACUUAUAAUUUUAUCGUAUUUUGGCUCUGAACACCUAUGCCUGAGGUUGAACUUCAGUUUGAAAGCUUGCAUGGACUUUUUAAAUAAAAUGACUAGUUCCCAUAAAAAUCAUUGACUCACUUGUAAUAUGUUUAAAAAAUAAUAAUCUGUGAGGCACUAGCUGAAACCCUAAUGCCACUUAAAAUUGAUAAUUGCAGAGUGUUUCAAGAGGUUGUAGGCAGAUGAAAGGCAAUAUGCAAGAACAUCUAUAUUAAGGUCCAGGAUGCAACAACAUUGCUGAGGCUGAGGAGAUCUGAUUCUGGCCAUCACCUUGAUGAGAAACUGCCUGGGGCCUCUUUGAAAAUCCCUUUGAAUUACAUAACAUGGGAGUGGUGAAUAUGGGCCAUGUUACCUUCUGGGUAAUCUUCUGGGUUCCACAUGCCGGUGGUAGGCAGGGCAACAAAUGAAAAUGAAAAUGAAAAUGAAAAUGUUACCUUUGUACAGUAGGCUAGUUUCUGUACUCACACAUCCAUCUCCCUAUCUUCUAUCCAGGCAAGCAAGAGACACAAUCAGAGUGCAGGGACACAUUCCAGCCAGUCAAAAAUGCUUGGGGUGUGAAGCAGGGCCGGUAAGAAGUGUGGCCUAGCAGGAGGGGGUGUGGCCUGGAGAGGGGUCCAGAAGCCAGGUGAGGACUGGUGGGCUGCAUUUGACCCCUUGAUAUAAUAGAAGAAAGGCUAGGUGUACAUUCAAUAAGAAAUAAUGCACACUAACAUUAAAUCAACAGCUGCCUGUUUGCAAUUUCAGCAUACCCUCCAACAUGCCACAGAGGAAAAUUGGGGAUGCAUGGCCCCCCCAAAAGUGUGCCUCUUUCGAGGCUGCACUGUCACGGGAGCCAAAACAGGAUAUUCUGGGAUCCAAUCAGAAGCUGGGAUGGCUUCUGUAAUUCUAGGAUGUCCCGUUCAAACUGGGACAGUUGGGGGUUAUGUUUCAGGUACUCAUUUUAGCAUCCUGACCCCAAAGACAAUGAACUAAAGGCAUUGAGGGGAUGUUUAAUGCUAUUGCAUAUAGUUUUUUAAGUGUCAAGUGGGCAUUCAUUUUGGUUUUGUUUUCAGUAAUGUUUGAAACCGUAGAUGGUGAGAGCAGGCUCAGCAGGUUGGGUAACAUGAAGUUUCAGUGGUGACCGUCUUGAAUCAAGAGGGACAUGAUGGUCAGAAAUGGAACAUCAAAUUCAUUAACACUGUUCUAAUUAACUUCAAUAUAUUUUUUGAAAGUACAAAUGCAGAAUUCCUCCCAGGGAUAUAAAUUCUUGAUUGUUAAGCUGACUGAAUAUCAUCUGUCUUCCUUGGGAAGCAGAGCUAAUAAUUCCAGUGGCUGGGGUAUAGUAUUUUGAUAGUGAGUUGUGAAACAAUAAAAAUGUAAUAACUUGUGACACCUGCUGGCUGGGAGCAAAUACAUUCUAAUGGAUUUCUGCUGCAUUGAAUUUUCCAUUACCGUGCAACAACUGCCCCUCCUCAAUACCAAGUUCCACCAUGACAAAGAAAAACAGCAGUUCCUCCACUAUGUAUGACAGGAACUUGUGGUCUUUGUCAUAUAAAUCCCGCAGGUCAAAAUUACAUGCAUACAUCAUUUUCUUUGGAUGCCACCCUUCCAUAGUUAAACCAUGCUCAAGGCGGCUUACAACAUGAAAUAAAAUCACAUAAGCACAAAUGUAACAAAAGUAGUCAUGAACAAUAAAUAAAACACAUUGAAAAGUAUACAACGAAAUUAAACAAUUUCCACAUAAAUCAUAAGAAGAUCUAAAAAUAAAUAUAGAAUAAGAUAAUAUCAAUAGCAGCAGCAACCCCCCGCCCCCAAGCUCCAACCCAAUAGUCUUUUCAGCAGCUUCAGAUUUUGUAGCUGGAGUCAGUCAGGGUCCCACCUUCCCAGGUCAAGUGGGAAAAGGCCUGCAAGGCAAGGAACAGGUCGUCCAGGACUCUCAGCCAUGAUGGUCAAAAUUGUUGUGACAGAUGUAUCCUAACAUGAAGUUGCGUCUUGCUGUAUUUUUCACAAAGCUGGAACUGGUCUUGAUGUUGUGUAACUUAGAAUCCAGAAUUUAGUUGUGAAUCUUCAUUAGUCCGGAGGAUGAAUGGGAGAAAAACACAAUGCCAAGGUUCCUCAAAGCACAGAUCCUUCAGCCAUAUCAUCCAUCUUAUUCCAUCUGUUUUAUUAUUAUUCAAUAGUUUUAUUAUUAUUCAAUUAUUAUUCAAUUAUUUUUCAAUAUUGUUCAAUAUUCAAUAUUCAAUAGACACAAUCUGCUUUGUAUUGAAAGGACACACACACAUAGUGAAUAUAAGACAAGAUCUGAUUAAUUUCCAUAUUUGAUACAGCUUUGCAGAAUCCAAUUGGGUUGAUAUUUUGGCUUAUUUCAGGGGGAAAUUCUGGUCCCACCCUGCACAGUCCACAUUUUGUUAUAAAGUGCUUUAUAAAUAAAACAAAACCAUUUGAAAUCAUGGUUUCCCAUUCUGGUUUGCUGGUUGAUUACAAACCAUGGAUUGCCAAUUCAGUCAAUGUUCCAAACCACAGCUAAGCUUCCUGUUAACUAUGAAUUUCAGUGAACUGAACCACUAUACCAAAGUCCUCACUCACUGCCUUUCUGUUUUUAGUCAAAAGCCUUUUCACGAAGCCAAACAAAUGCUUAAUAAUGUUUUCAUUACAAGUGUACAUCCUUAGCUUGAAAUUGCACGCCAUCCAGAUGAUGAUGAUCUAGGGAUUCUUUGUGCUGAAGACCCAAAUAAGGCAGGUCAAGACCUCGUGGAGUCAGACCACAGAACAAGUAAUUGCCACACAAAUUGGGACAGAUGGAGUGAGCUGAACUUUCGACUGCCCCAUUAAUCUGGGUGAGCAUUAGUCAUCAAACUAAUUAAAUGUAAUUGCAUUUUUUUCCUUUGAGCUCUGAACCUUUCGACUAUUAUUCCUUCACUAACCUUUAUUUAAAGGUUCUUAGCUCUUAAUUGAAACAGGGAACGAGAAGCCUGAAGAAGAAGGAGAAGAAGAAAGAAUUCCUCUCUCUUUUUUAGGUGGUCACUGUGAUGAAGGACAGGCUGAAGUAAUUGGCAGCCUUGCAGAGUCAGAAAUGAAGAUUAUUAUGGCUAAACUUGGGGGAAAUCAAGGCUGCUCAUUUUAUCUGUCAGGGACGACACUUCUUAACUUGGUGGUUAACUCAGUGGUGCGGUUGUGACCUUAUAAAAAUAAUCAGGUGGUUAAUGUCCUCGUCUUUGUGUGGCUCGGAGGCUCUCAAGCAAUUACUGUCAAGGCUGCGAGAAAGGGGCAGUGUUUUGCUGAGGAAAGGAAGGGUCUGUCUCCGGAGCGAAAUAGCUUUGUCUCCACAAAUCUUUCCUGGUGAACAUGCACAGCUUUGAAGGAGAAGAUAAAUUGUCUGAGAGGCAGAUGGCCUGCCAUUUUUGAUAGGCAUCCAAAUUUCUGAGAUCAUGGAAUGUGGCACAAGAUUUUUUGAAAAGGAAGCCUAUGCAGCUGCGUUUGUUAUCACCUUGUGAUUAAAGCAGGCAGAAUUAAAAUAAUUGGAGCACAUUGCAGUUGGACCCUUUGACUUCUGUCAUUCGAACGUUCAUGAAUCACCAAAAGAAUAUUUAUUUUAAUGCUUAAAAAUAUGUUGCUAGAAACUUAUUUACAUAUUGUAGUAAAUGCCUGCUUUUGUUCCCCUCAACUUAUUACUUACUUGUUCCUAUCAGAAUGUUCUAUUAUAGCCCAACUAAUCCAUCAAAUUCAGGCUAGCUCUCCUUUAGUACCUCACAGCUUUGUUAUGAGGACAAAACAGGGAGGGAAAGAAACCAGCAUUCCACCUCAUGCUCCCAGGAGAAAAGGUGGGCUAAAAUAUGAUAAAUAAACAAAUAUUAUGCUCACUUUGCUAGUUAAUAUUACUGUUGGCACCAAGCUAGUUAAAAGUAGUGAUGCUUAAGCCUCGUUGAAAUCCAGGGGACAAGUUAAUAACCACUAAUGUAGGCUUGAUGUUAACAGGACUUAAGUAAGACUAGGAAUGGAAGAGGCAUCUGUUUUAUAUGGAUUUAUAUGUGGCAUUUGCCCCUUCAUGGAUCACUGCCUUGCCGUGGCGAAGGGCUUGAAUAACUUGGAGAAGCUAUGAGCUAUGCCGUGCAGGGCCACCCAAGAUGGACAGGUCAUAGUGGAGAGUUUUGACCAAACGUGAUCCACCUGGAGCAGGAACCGGCAAGCCACUCCAGUAUCCCUGCCAAGAAAACUCCAUGGACAAAGACAAAAGGCAUAUAAAAGUUAUGACGCUGGAAGAUGAGCCCCUCAGGUCGGAAGGCGUCCAACAUGCUACUGAGGAAGAGCGGAGGACAAGUACAAGUAGAAUCAGAGCUGAUGAAGCGGCAGGGCCAAAGCCGAAAGGACACUCAGUUGCGGAUAUGCCUGGAAGCGAAAGGAAAGUCCAAUGCUGUAAAGAAAAAUAUUGCAUAGGAACCUGGAAUGUAAGAACCAUGAACCUGGGUAAGUUGGAUAUGGUAAAAAAUGAGAUGGCAAGAAUAAAUAUUGAGAUCCUGGGCAUCAGUGAACUAAAAUGGACGGGAAUGGGCGAAUUCAGUUCGGAUGACCAUCAUAUCUACUACUGUGGGCAAGAAUCCCGUAAAAGAAAUGGAGUGGCCCUCAUAGUCAACAAAAGAGUGGCAAAAGCUGUAUUGGGAUGCAAUCUCAAAAAUGAUAGAAUGAUCUCGAUACGAAUCCAAGGCAGACCUUUUAACAUCACAGUAAUCCAAGUUUAUGCACCAACCACUGGUGCUGAAGAAACUGAAAUUGACCAAUUCUAUGAAGACUUACAACACCUUAUAGAAUUGACACCAAAGAAGGAUGUUCUUCUCAUUAUAGGGGAUUGGAAUGCUAAAGUAGGGAGUCAAGAGAUAAAAGGAACAACUGGCAAGUUUGGCCUUGGAGUUCAAAACGAAGCAGGGCAAAGGCUAAUAGAGUUCUGCCAAGAGAACAAGCUGGUCAUCACAAACACUCUUUUCCAACAACACAAGAGACGACUCUACACAUGGACAUCACCAGAUGGGCAGCAUCGAAAUCAGAUUGAUUAUAUUCUCUGCAGCCAAAGAUGGAGAAGCUCUAUACAGUCAGCAAAAACAAGACCUGGAGCGGACUGUGGCUCAGAUCAUCAGCUUCUUAUAGCAAAAUUCAAGCUUAAACUGAAGAAAGUAGGAAAAACCACUGGGCCGGUAAGAUACAAUCUAAGUCAAAUCCCUUAUGAAUACACAGUGGAAGUGAGGAACAGGUUUAAGGAUUUAGAUUUGGUGGACAGAGUGCCUGAAGAACUAUGGAUGGAGGCUCGCAACAUUAUACAGGAGGCAGCAACGAAAACCAUCCCAAUUAAAAGGAAAUGCAAGAAAGCAAAGUGGCUGUCCAACGAGGCCUUACAAAUAGCGGAGGAGAGAAGGCAAGCAAAAUGCGAGGGAGAUAGUGAAAGAUACAGGAAAUUGAAUGCAGAUUUCCAAAAAAUAGCAAGGAGAGACAAGAAGGCCUUCUUAAACGAGUAAUGCAAAGAAAUAGAGGAAAACAACAGAAUGGGAAGAACCAGAGAUCUGUUCAAGAAAAUUGGAGAUAUGAAAGGGACAUUUCGUGCAAAGAUUACCAUAAUAAAGGACAAAAGUGGUAAGGACCUAACAGAAGCAGAAGACAUCAAGAAGAGGUGGCAAGAAUACACAGAGGAAUUAUACCAGAAAGAUAUGGAUGGCUCAUACACCCCAGGUAGUGUGGUUGCUGACCUUGAGCCAGACAUCCUGGAGAGUGAAGUCAAAUGGGCCUUAGAAAGCACUGCAAAUAACAAGGCCAGUGGAAGUGAUGGUAUUCCAGCCAAACUACUUAAAAUUUUAAAAGAUGAUGCUGUUAAGGUGCUACACUCAAUAUGCCAGCAAGUUUGGAAAACUCAGCAGUGGCCAGAGGAUUGGAGAAGAUCAGUCUACGUCCCAAUCCCAAAGAAGGGCAGUGCCAAAGAAUGCUCCAACUACCGCACAAUUGUACUCAUUUCACACGCUAGCAAGGUUAUGCUUAAAAUUCAACAAGGAAGGCUUAAGCAGUAUAUGGACCGAGAACUCCCAGAAGUGCAAGCUGGAUUUAGAAGAGGCAGAGGAACCAGAGACCAAAUUGCAAACAUGUGCUGGAUUAUGGAGAAAGCUAGAGAGUUCCAGAAAGACAUCUACUUCUGCUUCAUUGACUAUGCAAAAGCCUUUGACUGUGUCGACCACAGCAAACUAUGGCAAGUUCUUAAAGAAAUGGGAGUGCCUGAUCACCUCAUCUGUCUCCUGAGAAAUCUCUAUGUGGGACAAGAAGCUACAGUUAGAACUGGAUAUGGAAAAACUGAUUGGUUCAAAAUUGGGAAAAAAGUACAGCAAGGCUGUAUAUUGUCUCCCUGCUUAUUUAACUUAUAUGCAGAAUUCAUUAUGCGAAAGGCUGGGCUGGAUGAAUCCCAAGCCGGAAUUAAGAUUGCCAGAAGAAAUAUCAACAACCUCAGAUAUGCAGAUGACACAACCUUGAUGGCAGAAAGUGAGGAGGAAUUAAAGAACCUUUUAAUGAGGGUGAAAGAGGAGAGCGCAAAAUAUGGUCAAAAAAAUGAAGAUCAUGGCCACUGGUCCCAUCACCUCCUGGCAAAUAGAGGGGGAAGAAAUGGAGGCAGUGAGAGAUUUUAUUUUCUUGGGCUCCAUGAUCACUGCAGGUGGUGACAGCAGUCACGAAAUUAAAAGACGCCUGCUCCUUGGGAGAAAGGCGAUGGCAAACCUAGACGGCGUCUUAAAAAGCAGAGACAUCACCUUGCCAACAAAGGUCCGCAUAGUUAAAGCCAUGGUUUUCCCAGUAGUGAUGUAUGGAAGUGAGAGCUGGACCAUAAAGAAGGCUGAUCGCCGAAGAAUUGAUGCUUUUGAAUUAUGGUGCUGGAGGAGACUCUUGAGAGUCCCAUGGACUGCAAGAAGAUCCAACCUCUCCAUUCUGAAGGAAAUCAGCCCUGAGUGCUCACUGGAAGGACAGAUUGUGAAGCUGAGGCUCCAAUACUUUGGCCACCUCAUGAGAAGAGAAGACUCCCUGGAAAAGACCCUGAUGUUGGGAAAGAUUGAGGGCAUAAGGAGAAGGGGACGACAGAGGAUGAGAUGGUUGGACAGUGUUCUAGAGGCUACAAACAUGAGUCUGACCAAACUGCGGGAGACAGUGGAAGACAGAAGUGCCUGGCGUGCUCUGGUCCAUGGGGUCACGAAGAGUCAGACACGACUAAACGACUAAACAACAACAUAUGUGGAAUUUGAUGGAUCUGAUUGUUUGAGCUUUGCCCACUCCAGAUCAGCUCUUAUGUGGGAAGUGGGUGGUGCUGUGGUCUAAACCACCGAGCCUCUUGGGCUUGCCAAUCAGAAGGUUGGUGGUUCAAAUCCCCGCAACGGAGUGAGCUCCCUUUGCUCUGUCCCAGCUCCUGCCAACCUAGCAGUUCGAAAGCGCACCAGUGCAAGUAGAUAAAUAGGUACCACUGUGGAGGGAAGGUAAACAGCAUUUCCACAUGCUCUGGUUUCCCUACGGUGUUAUGUUGUGCCAGAAGCGGUUUAGUCAUGCUGGCCACAUGACCCGGAAAGCUAUCUGUGGACAAACGCCGGCUCCCUCGGCCUGAAAGCAAAAUAAGUGCUGCAAACCCCUAAUCGCCUUUGACUGGACUUAACCGUCCAAGGGUCCUUUACCUUUUUAUACUGAGCACCCACCUAUGCCCGAAAGCUGUUAAAUAGUGUUUUUUAAAAGAUUAAGUCUUUUUUAGAGAAAUCAGUAUGGAAUCAAUACGGGAAGGGAGCACUUCCCGAAAAACAAAAUAAGUGAGUGCACUGCUCACAGGAGCUUCAUGGGCAGAAUCUCCAGCCUUCUCAAACUUCAAGGGAAGAUAUCAUGAGGUAACUCCUCCCUUGUGGCUUUUUCAGGUCAGGAAGUGGGGGCAUCCAGGGAGGCUACAGAGGACGCUGGAAAAACGUUUACUGGAAUGAAAAUUACAUACACUACCCUUGGCUGGUUAGGGACGCGGGUGGUGCUGUGGGCUAAACCACAGAGCCUAGGGCUUGCCGAUCAAAAGGUCAGCGGUUCAAAUCCCUGUGACGGGGUGAGCUCCCAUUGCUCAGUCCCUGCUCCUGCCAACUUAGCAGUUCGAAAGCACGUCAAAAUGCAAGUAGAUAAAAAGGUACCGCUCCGGCGGGAAGAUAAAUGGUGUUUCUGUGCGCUGCUCUGGUUCGCCAGAAGCGGCUUAGUCAUGCUGGCCACAUGACUUGGAAGCUGUACACUGGCUCCCUCGGCCAAUAAAGCAAGAUGAGCGCCACAACCCCAGAGUCGGCCACAACUAGACCUAAUGGUCAGGGGUCCCUUUACCUUUACCUUUACCUUUACCCUUGGCUACCCAACUCCACCUCCACCAAAAGUAUAGAGGCAUUUAAAAUAAAUUCUAAGGGGUCCUGUGGAAUGUGUCAGAAAAACACUAGUCUCUUGGGAGAACAGGGAGAGAAAACUUUUUGAGAGUUUGGAGGACAGGCACACAGCACUAAUGUAAUGCGUCAAGGACAUUGAGAUAAAGGCAGUUAGAAAAGGCUGGGAGGUAGCGUAAUGAGGAGCAGUUUCUGUUUGCUUUCAUUAGCUAAGGGAUCUACUCCAUUUGUGUGGAAAUGGGGGCCAUCCAUCAUACAAUAGUCAGUUGUGGUGAAAUUUUAAUGCAAGUUGGACUAGCUGCCUUUCAUUAGGAAAAGAUUAAUAAACCAGUCUAAACAUCUAAAAACUUCCAGAAGGACAAAUAGGCUGGAUACAGACAUCAGAACAAGAAACUCAGCACUCUGGAAUACUGGUUUCCCACCCACUUCUCUUUUUUUGUAUUACAUCAAAUAUUUACACACAAAUUAUUUUGGAGCAAAAGGUUUCGGAGGGAAAGUUUCCAGAAACUUCCUUCCUUUCAUUUUUGACACGAUGUGUUUGUGACCUCUCUGUCCUGUAGUGGCUUCUUUCUAUGAUCUGAAGACAAUGCAGACCACCCCCACCACCCCCAAAAGCCACCCCAUCAAGAGCUGAUUCUUUAGGCAAUCUCAGCCAAUUGGAACCACACAAGUGCUGUGACAUCAUUAGGUCAAAUUGGAGAAAGGUCAAGAAGCAUUGCUUUUAAUCUGCCCGACAACUCAAAUGUAGCCAAUUAUAUUGGGCUACGUGACAGCAUCAUGAAGCCAAAUCAGAGCGAGGGAAAUGUUUCCUGCAAAUGAUGAACAUUUUAGCUUCAUAUUGCACCCCCUUCCCCCAUUGCCCAAAUGUGUGUAUGCAUUAAGAGGGUAAUGUUUUGCACGUUGUGGCCCACCCCUAAUUUUGGGUUAGUUAUUCCCCUCCCAAUAAAUGUUUAUUGUCAUUUUAAUAGAAUGUAAUGAUAAUAUAAAAGCAAUAAUGAGUCCAGUUGCACAUUCUAUUAGCUUCUGUAAAAUACAUAUACAGCUCAGAGAGAAGAGCAGUAUGAUUAGACAAAGUUCAUUAUUCAAGAUAGGCCCUCCAUCAGCCAGUUUGAGUGGCUGGAGGUGGAAAAAUGCACAUAUUUUAUUUAUGUAAAUGAUAAAGGGACACCAAGUGUAAUCAAAACUAUCUUUCUUAGGAAUACCUUUCAUCACUCAUCUAUGGCAAGUAAGAAAUGCAAUCUAUUUUGGUCAAAACCACAUGCCACUCAUUUGAAGUGAUGUGUGGCAUGCAUGCUAAUUAUGGCCAUUGCUGCAGAUCUGCGGUCUGGAUUUCCCCACAAAAUGCCAAGGAUAUGUGUGUGUGUGUGCUGGUUUGCAGCAUGGAAAGUAUGAGAAUUAUGCCAGAAAUGACCUAUUUUUACUUCUAGAUUUUCUGGAUUGUCUGCCCACACAAUCUUGUUUCUGCAGUUAUACGGCAUUGCCUCUAACAGAAAUCAGAACUAUCUAAUGUGUUUAAUAGUAAUGCACCCAGGACUUCCCCACCCCAGCCAGAACUCACUGGAACUCAAUUCCGGCACCUCUCAAGUGGGUGCCAUUGCCAUUAUAAGAGAACAAGGGAGGUUUUCAUGGUGAGUUCCGGCACCUCAGUUUUUAGAAAAAUAGCACUGACUGCAUCUCUAUACUUAAAUACUUUAAAGGCAGUGGCAGUCAACUUGGUGCCUUCUAGAUGUUGUUGGCCACUAGCUUGGAUGGUUUAAAAGAGGAUUGGACAAAUUAAUGGGGGAUAAGACUAUCAAUGGCUACUAGAUGUCAGGGGCUGGACAGAGGCGGAAUGAUGGGAACUGCCCCCCUCUUCUUCUGCACCUUCCCGAGAACAGGAGGACAGUAUAGAUGUAGAUCAGUGGUUUGCAGAAGGGCAUAGUUCAGAGGCUACAGGGGGAGAAGCUGGAAAAUAUUGGGAGAGGAACAGCAGGAAGAAGAAGCACCAGGGGAGAGACAGCUGACAGACUCAGUGUCCUUGGAAAGCAUUCCUGAUCCCUCCCCUCCCCCUCUCCCAGGACCAGGCAAGCAUUGAGCAUAUAGAACAGAAAGCUCAGAGGCAGAAAGCUCAGAUUAGCUGAUGCAGGGGUGACGUAGAAUAGGAGAGACAGAGGGGGUGGAACUUUACUCGGAGCAACGCCAUCAUCUUAGGGAGACUGCAUUCCUUCGUCGCUCUCUGUGAAUUAUUGAAUAACUUCUUCAGUAAGAACUUUUAUUGUUUAUCUGCUUCUUGGCUUCCAUUGUGGGAGGGACCGGAUUCCCCGAAGCCUGACACUAGACCGCAAUACCUCAAGGAUUGCCUCUCUCUGACCUGGACCCUGAGAUCAUCAUCCGAGGCCCUUCUUCGUGUGCCUCCUCCAUGAGCAGAGGAAUGCUCUCCCCAGGGAGGCUCACCUAGCAGUGUGGCGUAGUGGUUAAGAGCGAUAGAUUCGUAAUCUGGGGAACCAGGUUCACAUCCUCCACAUGCAGCUGCUGGGUGACCUUGGGCUAGUCACACUUCUCUUAAGUCUCUCAGCCCCACUCACUUCACAGAGUGUUUGUUGUGGGGGAGGAAGGGAAAGGAGAAUGUUAGCCACUUUGAGACUCCUUCGGGUAGUGAUAAAGCGGGAUAUCAAAUCCAAACUCUUCUUCUUCUUCUAGCACCUUCAUUACGUGUCUUUAGGCACCAGGCAAAAACAUUCCUCUUCUCUCAGGCUUUUGGCUAAUUAAUCAAUCUAUGGCCUUUUAAACUUGUGUGUGUGUGUGUGUUGUUUUUGUUUGUUAUUAUGUUAUGUAUUUUUGCGUUUUCAUAUUGCAAACCGCCCUGAGACCCUUGGAUGAAAGGCGGUAUAGAAAUUUAAUUACCGUAUUUUUUGCUCUAUAAGACUCACUUUUUCACUCCUAAAAAAUAAGGGGAAAUGUGUGUGCGUCUUAUGGAGCGAAUGCAGGCUGUGCAGCUAUCCCAGAAGCCAGAACAGCAAGAGGGAUUGCUGCUUCCACUGCACAGCGAUCCCUCUUGCUGUUCUGGCUUCUGAAAUUCAGAAUAUUUUUUUUCUUGUUUUCCUCCUCCAAAAACUAGGUGCGUCUUGUGGUCUGGUGCGUCUUAUAGAGCGAAAAAUACGUAAUAAAAAAUAAUAAUAGUGAUGGUGGCUAUGCUGUGCCUCCACGGUUGGAGACAGCAAUUAAAGGUUCUGAAUACCAGCUGCUGGAAACCACUAAAGUGCUCUUGCACUCAGGUCCUGCUCACAGGCUUCUCUAUGAGAACAGGCCACUGUGAGAACAUGGGCCUGAUCCAGCAGAAUCUUCUCAUGUGCUUGACAGGGCUCUUCUUUUGCUUUUAUGUCUCUGAAUUAUGACAUUUGGAGGACCACAGGUGAGUGAAGGCAGAUUAAUUGUUCACCCCCACUUCCUAAAGGGCAGAGGUCAAAGUGUAGUGUGAUCUUGGGAGAAGUGUUCGGUUACUUUUAGUGGUCAUCAGAGACGUUGUUAUUCCUCAGGUAUAAGGCAAACGUUAGGUUGCCUUUUCAAAUAAUUACUAUGGUUGGUCUGCCCUGCAGUGCAUCCUUUAUGCUCAGGACCGUGUUAUAUUGCAUUUGAUUAUUUCUUAUUGUAUUUCUCUUGGUUUUUAAUGAUGCAACAUUGACUUAAGAGCGUUGCCAAACACUCUGCAGCAAAACAAACAAGUGAUCAAGAUCAGAAGAAGCUAAAUCCUAUUAUAGCCCCCUGGUGUACUAUAUGGCACCCUGAGGGGAUUCCUUUAUUUUAUUUACCUUGCAUCUAUCUGUGAUGUGCAAGUUCUCUAAUUGUGUGGAUUAAAAAAAAACCUCACUAUCAUUCUCCUUCUCGUUUUCCCUUCAAAUUACUAUUUUAAUUCUCACCAUUUGUUUCUUACAUUAACCUCCUGUGUAGUGUGAAGAGAUUAUUCUAGGUGCAAAUACUUAAAUCUGCCUUGUUAAGAUUUUGAGUGCUUUCAUUUUAACACAUUGGAAGCCUUUUCAAUUACACUCUCAGUAAAUUAACCGAGCCCUUAUUUAUUGCCUCCUCCUGAAACUUAAACUGUUGCAGAUUUUGGUGGGAUGGCUAUUUCCACAGUGGAUUAUGCCUUUGCAUUCAGGUGACUGUUACUAAAACGCAAGAUGAAAGGUUUUGGUGAACAUUUGAAAAACACAAAAGUGAAAAUUCAUGUCCCACUAGCUGCACUUUCAGUAGUAAGCAUGGGAAGCUUCUGCAUUCCCAGUUCAGUGCUUUAAUGCCAAACUGGGAAUGCAGCAAAUUAUGUCUGAAAUACAUACAGUCGUACCUCUGCUUACGUAUCACUCUGGAUACGUAAACUUUGGUAUGCAAACGCGGCAAACCCAGAAGUAUUUUUCCUUGCACAACCCACACUGCCCGCAACAGAUGUUAACUGUAACUCUGAAACACUUUGUCUGGCACUUGUGCUACAAGCCAUCCAGAAUACAGAUUAGCAAUCUACUAAAUCUACAGCCAACAUAUCACUUCUUACAAAUGCUGUUAACAUCAUUAUAACGACAGCAUGCUUUAAUAAUCCGGACUAUUAGAGGUAGGGGGGGGGAGAGUAGUAUUUGAGCUGCCUCUGUCUGGCAGUGGAAAAUCAUCUUCCCAUUUAACAAGCUUCAUUCCACAGUAAAGUACUACAGGAUAAUCAUUAUUUUCUUCAAGUAAAUCACAGAAGCAAAAAUGAUUGCUUAAGGGCAUUCCAAACAAGCAUGCAUGGUGCAUUUCAAAACUCCAGCUUGUUUACAGGGUUCACGGUACAGCCAAUAAAACAUACGUUAAACGAAGAAAAAAUAUUUUCCAUUCGCCUGUGCAGUAGGCACAAUGUGUUAAAUUUAACUUGUUCUAAAUAGCAAACCACAACCAGUUUAAACAAGUAAGAAUUCAUUGGGCCACUCUGUAUAAGAAUAGAGGUUGAGAAGACACUGUUGCAUGCUUUCCACACUUGUGUUUCAUGCUUUAUAAUGGAAAAAGCCACAUUUUCCUUUAUAUAAAGAACAGCAUCCAUCAUGUUAUUUACUGCUUCUCCUGACAAGCACUCUCUGCAAAGAAAUAUAUUGAGUCCCAAAUAGAUCUGGCAGGAAUAAAAUCUAAGCUGCAACUCUGGCACAUAAAGUAGAGGAGGGGGGUGGGAGAAACCAAUAGACCAAUACAAAUAUGAGCAAAUGAAGUGGAAGUCUGCGCCAAAAUUUAGUGACAUUUAUGAACCAGCUGAGACAUUUGGAUGCAGCAAGUUAGUACAGUUGAUUUUUGGACCAGCCAAAAUGAGCUGCGUGUGGAAAUGUGGUGGAAGACUCAAAAGCUACAACCAUGAGCACAUUUUACAAGAAACUGAACCGCAUUGGACAUAGCCAGCUAGCUUUAUUUUCGAGUAUGUAUAGGAUUGUACCGCAGAGGGUUGUCAUAUUUCAAGCAGUGAAAAUCUGGACAGAAAAGUUGUUGAGCUUGCCGACAUGGGCUGCCAUAUGUACAGAUUGACCGGGACAUAUUUUUUGCCAAUUUCCACCCGGGCACUGCUGCAUAUCUCAGGAAAAUUCUGGACAUAUGGCAACCCUAGUACUGCAUAGCAGGCUAAGGCCACAUUUACACCAUCCAUUUAAAGCCUUAUGAUGUCACUUCAAACAAUCAUGGCUUCCCCCAAAGAAUUCUGGGAGCUGUAGUUUGUUAAGGGUACAGAGAGUUGUUAGGAAACCCGUGUAUUUUGUGCCAGCUAGCCAAAUAGUUUGACCAAAUAUAUUUUCCCGUGCGAAGUGAAGCAGGGUGCUGUGCUUGUGUUCUCGGAUUGUGGGAAUUCACUUGAGCCAUCUGAACAAAGUAUUGUUUUCAGAGGAGCUCCGCUUGCAAAAGCCAAUAUAAGAAAUCAGGUUCCUAGCCAUUGCUCUGAUUACCUAAAAAGCCAUUUAGGUGUCUGACUGAAUGUAGCACAUUGCAUAUCUGUUAUCAUUGGGGGCUCAUUAGAGAGGCAAUAAAGCGUUGCAAUAAAUGAGAAGUGAAAGAUUUCUUAAAGCUGGGGAUGCCAUUGGUACAGAGUCUUUUAAUCUCUUUAAUGAGAACUUUGCAAGUGAUGCCCCAAUUAGGAAACAAAUUGCUGCCACCACAAAGCAUGUUUAGAAAUUUUAUUGCAUGGGUCACAGACAUUCCCUGGAUGCCAGUGAGAGCAAGGAGUGAAAUGGGUAAUCAAAGUUUCACAUUGUCAUUAUCUUUUAAAGAAAGUGUUUCUUUGUCCCUAGGUAAUAUAAUAAUUGGACACUUCUAAACAAUCAUUAUUAUUUUUCAAAAAAGCAGCUCCAGGCCAGAGAUUCAUGCUUGCCCAGAUGGAUCUUCCUUUAAUUGGGAGGGGGGCUGUUUCGUUCAAACAGAGCAAUUGUUUUGCAUACAUAAAGGAAUGAGUGGCAUGCUGGUUGGUGGCCCCCAAAAAUACUAUUAUGGACCACUUCAAUCUCUGCCAAGCAUUAGCAAAAUUCUAGAGGUCUUGGCACUUAACAAAGGUUUGUGUUCCUUUGGAAUGAGGCCCAGUGGAGACCAAUGUCUUUACGAAAUAUGCUUUAUUUUACACGUAUUUAAAACCUGGGGUUUUGAUGUCUCUCAUUGCUCCUCUCAUAGCUUCAAGAAGCUUGAGCCCAAAGCAGCAGCUAGUCUGUCCCCCGCUUGGUGCAGCCUCUCUGAGAGCCAGUGUGGUGUAGUGGUUAAGAGCGGUUGACUCGUAAUCUGGUGAACCGGGUUCGCGUCCCCGCUCCUCCACAUGCAGCUGCUGAGUGACCUUGGGCUAGUCACACUUCUCUGAAGUCUCUCAGCCUCACUCACCUCACAGAGUGUUUGUUGUGGGGGAGGAAGGGAAAGGAGAUUGUUAACUGCUUUGAGACUCCUUAGGGUUGUGGUAAAGCGGGAUAUCAGAUCCAAACUCUAGCCAACACACAUGGAGUUCUGGCCCCUCCUUUCUCCUUCCCUAAAACCCUUGCUCAAAAACCUCAGUUUAAAAGGACACCUUUCUUCCUGUGGUGACAUCAUGCCCCCUGUUAGCUGGCAACCUUCCCCUCCCAACUCUGCCAUUGUCCUUUUCUAACCAACACACAGUUGGGGGACUCCACCCCCCUUCAUGUCUGACACUGAAUGUCUCACCUUUUGUCAGGGUAACGACGCCAUCAUCACCUGCCUUUGUUCUUUGAUGGAAUCUCUGUAAACCAAGCUCCUGAGGAAGCUGGCUUGAGUUAUUUUUUUAGGCUUUGCUAAAUCCAUUGGUCAAACCCCACAUUUACUAAUUUGAGAAAUUACGGAGAGAACUUGGCAUGCAACCCAUCAGUAAAAUAACAGUGCGAUGGGAAGCCAGGAAAAGCCUGCAUAAAUAGACGAGUCUUCAGAAGGCAUUUAGAAGCUGUCAGCAUUUCUGACUGCAUGUGCGAUGGUGUUCCAGAACGUGGGUGCUAUUACUGAGAAGGUCUACUCUCAUAAGAUUUCAUAAAAUAGCAUUCCACCAAUCAUCAGCAUUCCAUCAGCAAGACCUCCCUGGAAACUAGCCUUCUGUAGAAAGGUAAUAAUUAUAUUUGUUUCCUUGCCCACUUUUAUCUCUAGUUCCAUUCACCACUGGAAUGUGACCAUUGGGAGGUUGCCCAAAAGGAAACCUGGCCCUUGGGCUCAAGAUGCUUCCCUGCUCCUGAUCCCAGAUAUCAAUCUGAGAUAUAUUCGGUAAGGAGGUCUGCUAGGUAUCCUGUUCCCAGGUUCUUUAGGGAUUUAUAUGUCUGCAAGAAAACCUUGAAACAGAUGAUCAAACAAGCCAUGGUUUGUUUCUACAAGGAUGAGCAAGGAUUUCUUGCCUUGUGCCUUUGUAGUUUGGUGAUGUCUGCAGUGGGGUGGCCAAAACAAACUAUGGUAAAGGAAGGGAGCUGGAGUUGCAUGUGAUGCUGAACCAUAGUUAAAACAAACCAAGGUUCAAAUUGAGGUAUCAUGGUAGUUAGGGCUUUUUUCCUAGGAAAAGAGGUGCCAGAAUUUGUUGACCUUUUUAUAAACCACUAACCUCUGCCGCCGCUGCACAACCCAAAUCACUUUCCUGCUUGCCGUCUCCACCACGCAGCCCUGAGCGCCAUGCAGGGGAACAACACCAGAACACCUACAGAGGUGCUGGAAUGCAACAAAGCGGUGCCAGAACUCAGUGUUGGUGAGUUCCAGAUGAAAAAAGUGAUGAUGGUAGUACAUAAUGAAAUACUUUAUUGUCACUUGUACAACUUGUAUACAGUGAGAUUACAUGAGCACCCCCCACUCAGCUCUCUAAGUCUUAAUUCCCCUCGUUUACUGACGCACACCCACCAAACCUGAAAGUCAGUUGCCCUGUUUUCAUUUUCAUUUAGCAACCUAACAGCCCACGGAUAGAAGCUUUUCUUUACCCUGUUGGUGCGACUAAUCAUGCUUCUAUAUCUUCUGCAACCAAUUGCAUCUUUCCAUGCCCCUUAUGUAAAUACAUAAACCAUUUGGCUGGUUUCACACACCAUGCUAAGCCAUGACUUACCAUUAUGUCAUGACUUACCAUUAUGUGUGAACCAGGUCAUUCUGCCCCUAGAUUCUAUUACAAUGCUGGAAUCCUGUGGUAUUACUGGCAACACAUGUGUGUGCUUCCUUUGAUUGUACUUUCAAAGGGGGAAAAACACAUUUUAAUGGUAGGAGAAAGAGGAGAGGGAAAGACAGCAAAAUAAAACCUUGGUGCAACUGAGCCAUCUAAAUAUGUCCAUUUAACAAUGGCUUUAGGUGGAGCCAGUAGUCAUCUAUUUUACAAGCAUUCAGGACUCUGUAAUUAAAAGUUACCUAAGAGCAUGUACACUAGUAUAAAAAGGGUAAUAGCAUCUGACCCAGCAUGCCCAGCUAACCAAAUUGCAACUCAACAGGCCCCUAUUUAGGUCAUAAAUAGAUGGUGAAAUCAGUUUCCCUUUUAUUGACCUUCCAGGGUUUAUAAAAGCAAGUCUUUCUCAAUGCUUUUAUUAAAGUGGAAUAUAGGCAAGUACUUAAAGAGAGCUACUGGCAUGGGUAAUCAUAACUUUGUUUAAUAGGCUAAUAUAUGAAUAAAUGUGCCCAUGGCCCCUUCAAUACUCCUUUUGCAUGAGCAAGUGAACUAGCCAGUAGUCUUCCAAUCAACUCUAAUUUAACGUUUCACCUAAACUGGGAAACUGUGGUUCCCAGCUUCAGUACAAGCUGCAACAUCAAACCAUAGCUUGAAGAUAGUCCAAUAUCCUGGAUUGUUCAGAUGGUGCUAUAUUCAGUUUCCUGGUUCAAAUGAAACAGGAAACCAUGGUUGGCCAAAUACAUUUUGAAGCCUGAGGCAAAGGAAAUGAUGUACCCUUGCAUGCCACACACGAGAGCCAACUAGGCUGGCAGCUCAGAUCUGCGAGAUGGAAAGAGCAAUGUUAUUUAUGAAAGCGAUGAUAUAUGGAAACCAUCUUGAUAUGAGGAUUGGACGAACGGAAAAAUUCACACAGGAUUAUAAUUGGUGUUUAUCAGCUUAAGGAGAUUAUCAGAAGACAUCAUAAAGAAAAAAAGAAAAAAUAUAUACGAACAAGAUGAGAUGUGGAAACAGCAAGAUAAGACUGGAUAGAAUUAUGAACAUUAUUUGGACUGAUUUGGACAUUAACGCAGUAGCAAGAAGAUGAUCGGAAUCCCCCUUUGGAACUUGAAAUAUGGGUCUCCUCAACAAAAAUUUAAAAUUCAGCUUUGUAAUUCGAAAUUUAGGUGAUGUGAUUUGAUUUGAUUGGUCGGUUAAUAAAAAUAAUUAAAAAAAAAAAAAAACUAGGCUGGCAGCUCAACAGUAGCAAUGAGAUAGCCUUUGACAGGAUCAAGCUAGCAGUAAAUCACACCAACUUAGUUGGCGUUAACUCUUUAUUAGCAAGAAUAGGAUCUGCACAGGAGUGUCAGGCCUAAUAAGCACAUCAACUCAUUUUCAGUAGGUUUCCCCCCAUGAAGCAGUUGCUGAGACUGAAGGUCCCUCCUCCCCACAGUUGCCUAAGUCCCUUCCUCUCCAGAGUUUCCCCCAAGUAAUCUGAGACUCCACCCUCUUGGUUCUGGGAGAUCCAGGGGAGGGGAACCAGGCAGAGGGCCUUCUCGGUAGUGGCGCCCUCCCUGUGGAAUGCCUUCCCACCAGAUGUCAAAGAGAACAACAACUACCAGACUUUUAGAAGACAUCUGAAGGUGGCCCUGUUUAGGGAGGCUUUUAAUGUUUGAUGUAGCACAGUAUUUUAAUAUUUUUUUUGCAAGCCGCCCAGAGUGGCUGGGGAAGCCCAGCCAGAUGGGCGGGGUAUAAAUAAUAAAUUAUUAUUAUUAUUAUUAUUAUUAUUAUUAUUAUUAUUAUUAUCAUUAUCACAGCAGGUGGGGGAGAAACUGUCUCAGCAACAUCUACAUUGGCUUAGUUAUGUCCACGGAAUGGAAGGUGGCAGGACCCCCAAGGAAGUGGCUCUAUGGGAAGCUGUCUUAAGGCACCAGUCUUGUUGGCAGGUGAACUCUGUGUUAUAAAGAUGUCUUCAAAUGUGACAUGAAGGCUGGCAACAUAAACCCCGCAGUGAGUGAAUCCCUUGCAGACAACUGCAGCGCCUGGAGACAGUCAAUUUGUGUAUCCAAAGCAGUGACCAGAGGAAGAACGACUGCUGGGAAGGGUGCAGAAACAAGAAAUGACAUGGCACAUUUGCAUCAGCACAACUGGACGCCUUCAUCUGCCCCAGCUGCAACCAAACGCGUCUCUCCCAUAUUGGUCUCCACAGCCACAGCAGGUGCUGUAACCUCCCAACCGUUUGGCUUCACCUAAAAAGGCACACUCCUCCAAUGUCUCCCAACACAGACAGAUGCCAAUCAAUUGCUUCUUUCCAUGCCCCUUAUGUGCCUGGAUGGUGAGCUGCCCCAUUAACUUCAGUGGAAAAGAUGGCUCCACAAUUUUUGCAUGAUGUCUGUAGAGAGCUGUAUCCUUUCCUGAGGUGAAAGGGGGAAACACUAAGGUGUGGUGAGACUGAGUUUACCUGUGUGCUGAAGCUUUGUUGCCGCCUGCAGUAAAUUGCUGCAUGGAGCCAAUUUACUCCAAGCCCUUCUGCAAAGGGUACAAGAGUUUAGUUCAAAUGCCGAGCUCUUUAUUUGUGCUAUAACCCUCCUUAAAAUGUGAUCACUUUAUUCUAGCAUGCCAUAGAGGAAGAAUGAUGGACUGAUCAGACUCAAUUACUUUGAAAAGAGCAUAUAAUUAACCAUAUUGCUACUACGAGUAGGACAAGUCUCUGACAGCUUUUCUUUCUUUAAAAACUGUGUAACAAUACCUAAUUAUUCUUCCAGCAAUCUACUCCCAGUCUAAAUUUAGGACGUACUUUUUUCAACCAGCUAUCGUUGGCAGAUUAAAAAAAAAAUCAGCUCAAGGUUCAGUGCACUAGCGUUGAGAUUGACUUUUCCUUUAAAAUCAGAGCAAAUUCUGAAAUGAGUUCCUCUUCAAGCCCCAUAACAUUCACAGGAUUUGUGAACUAUUCUACUCCCCAAAUUGGUGGUGUGCUGAUGGCAGGGUGUAAAUAUUUUCUUUUCGAUUUGAUCCAUAGAAAAUAGAUGACUGUUAGAAGAUUGGAUAGUGUGUCAAAAAGGAACAACAUUCCUAUUUCACCCAGUUCACUUGGUGUCUAAAUAUAAUGUUGUAAAAUCUAUCCGUUCCUGGAUCUUAUUGCUGCAUCUCUGCUCCACAGGGUGAGCAGCUUCUGAUUAGCUGCUAGAUAGGAAUUUCCUCCAAUUUUGUUCCAUUAGGGUUUGUUCUGACCCACAUUUCUUUCUCACUGGAUUCCCGUUUAACUAGGAACAUCCCCAGUGCCGGAUUUACAUAUAAGCUAAACAAGCUAUAGCUUAGGGCCCCACUCUCUUGGGGUCCCCCCAAAAAAUUAAAGGAAAAAACACCUGGAUGUACAUUUCCAAAAUAUGAGAUAAAAAACAAAUAAAAUAAAACCUACAUACAGUUAGAGCUUAAUAAUUAUUUCACUAUUAAUAUACUUCUUCUUAAUUGUAUUUCGGUGAUAGAAUACAUAUUUUGUUUUGUGCAAAUGGCUUUAGAUACCUAUUAGGUCCAAAAAUUACCAUAUAGCAUAUAAAAAGGUAAAGGUACCCCUGACUGCUAGGUCCAGUUGCGGAUGACUCUGGGGUUGCAGUGCUCACCUUGCUCUAUAGGCCGAGGGAGCUGGUGUUUGUCUGCAGACAGCUUCCAGGUCAUGUGGCCGGCAUGACUAAGCCGCUUCUGGUGAACCAGAGCAGCGCAUGGAAACGCCGUUUACCUUCCUGCCGGAGUGGUACCUAUUUCUCUACUUGCACUUGGAUGUGCUUUCGAACUGCUAGGUUGACAGGAUCAGGGACCGAACAAUGGGAGCUCACCCCGUUGCGGGGAUUCGAACCACCAACCUUCUGAUUGGAAAGCCCAAGGCUCUGUGGUUUAGACCACAGCGCCACCCGUGACCCUUUCAUAUAGCAUAUAUUCAACACAAAAAACAGUGACAAUUUGUUGUUGACAAAGAACAGCUGGACAUAUAAAGGGCCCCAUUACCUCUAGUAGCUUAGGGCCUCAUCAAACCUAAAUCCAGCCCUGAACACACACCACCCCCCGAUAAAAAUCAACCAGAUCAUGAGAACAUGAGAAGCAGCAGUGGAUGAAAGUGUGGUGCAGGAAGAGCUCUGGGAAUGGGGCUCUGUUGCUCCUCUGACUUCCAAAAACUGCAGGUUACUACUACCACUUAUUGAAAAGCCCAGUGUGGCAACAGAGCCAAUCCAUUGCUCUUGCUAACAUGCACCAAGCUCUGUGUGCCUUUCCCCUCCCCUUUUCGGUAAGAGGCAAUGACAUGCGGUGUUGGUAAGGCGGGGGGAAAGGGAGCCACAUGCACCACCCCUCCACCUCUGACCAGAAGCCAUCCUGGCUGGGGCUGAUGAGAGCUGGAGUCCAACCAUAUUUGGAGAGUAACAGAUGCUCUAGCAGAAGAUUCUUAAACCGUGUCUUCCCUUUCCAAGGGUAGCUUAUGAUUUAUUUAUUGCAUUUGUGUCUCACCUUUUCCUCCAAGGAUCUCAAGGUGAUGCACAUGGCUCAAUACACUGUGAGGUAUGUUAGUUUGAGAGGCAAUGAUUGGCCCAAGGUCACCCAAGUGAGCUUCAUGGCUGGGUGGAGAUUCAAACCCUGGUCUCCCAGGUCCUGGUCAGACAUUCAAACCCCUAAACCAUGCUGUAGCAUGAAAAUUCACGUGCAUGCAAGGACACAAACAUGCACACGCAAUCAUUGUCUUUCAUUCCAGAAGACUUGCAUGUAAUAGAAUGACCUCAUAUUUGUUCGUGUUACCAUGGCAUUUCGAGAGGGGAUAUAAGAAGAACAAUGCAUUCCAAGUUUCUUUUGCUUCACCUUUCAAGGUCUUUUGUUUAUUCCCACUCAUGCUCCUUUUAGCCUUAAGAAAUCUCGUGAAAGGAACCUAUCAUUGUGCAAUUUUGAAAUAAUCCUCCCCAUCUCAAAAGUUAUUAAUGCCUGUCUUGGGUUGAAUGCUUACAGAAAUUAGGGAUGAAAAGAUGAAAUAGCAGGGUGCCAUUAUAAUGCUUUGUCCACAGAGCGUAUUUGGAGUGGCAGCUUAAUAGCAUGAUGAGUUAAUUGUAAUAGCAAUGCAGCUGUUGGGCUGAUAAGACAGCAGUCAUCUGGUUGACCUGUAAAAAUGAAACCUUGGUCAACUGUGGGAGGGAAGAGACAACACAGUGACAUGCCUUGAAGUAUGUGUGUAAAGAGGUUCUCCAUUUCAACAAGAACAAAGGCUUGGAGAACACACCAGCCUGGGAGCUGGACAAAAACUUUAUUGUCUCUUUUAAACCAGACACAACAGCACUCAGAUGUAACUAAGUCCAGUGCCACCUAGAGACUAAACUGUAUACUGACACCAUCCACAAAGUCUGUAAACAUCCACAAAGUCUGUAAACUUGAUUAUUGUAGAUUUUGAAAAGGGACCUCUAGAGAGUUGGUCUGAUGUCCAUAUUUUGAAUUAAAUAAUGGCACACAUUUACCAGCAGUUCUCUAUAUUCUGUUUUAAUGUCAACAAAAAGCACCUUUCAAUUUACGGCUGCGAUUGCAUCACAGAUUCUCGGAUUCUAGGAUUACUCAUACCCAGCCCCUGCAUCUUUACUAGAAGUUUUGGAAAGUGCUCUUGUGCACAGAAUUAUAUGUUUAAAAUCACUUAAGAUUUUACAACUACUUUAUGGUUACGGUGGUGAAAAAACAGGGUGUAAAAAUAAUAGGGAGAGCAAUCCAAACUCACAAUCUGCAAUGAGUGGGUUUGGACGGGGAGGAGGUGUUCCUCAGUGCAGCCCUGCUUGGUUCUGCUAGCCUCUGCUAAUGAGGUACUCAUUAGCAGUACGUCAUCAGGGAAGCCCUGCUGGUGAGGAGCAUGCCAAUAUACUCCCCAACCAACAGUAAGGUUGUCAAUCCCAGCAGGUAUAUAACAGGAAGACCAGGCCACAGGCCUGGCCAGGCCGGGUCUUCCUGUUAUAUACCUGUUGGGAUUGACAAGGCAUCUGACCCUCACCUGACUCUCAUAGCUCUCCUGACGAGUGCUUUGGUCUGCAGCUACGGUGUGGAAAUAAAGGAUGAGAUUGCCCACCAGGUACCAGGCACUCUACUAUUCAAAUUAGGCUCCAGUGUUUUUGUUACAAUCCCCUUCUCAAUUAAUCAAUUUUAAUCUGGAAUUUAAAUUCUCGAAAUUUCUUAUUUGUUAAUUCGAGCAAGUAAACUACUGCUCUCACUUCAUUACAAACAGUAUUUCUACCUGCAACACACGAGCAAACCUGCUCCUCUUCCUUUCACAGAUAUUUUGUUGCCAUUUGCAACUGUAGCUGCUUCUGAUUAGUUAUCAUUUAACUCUUGGGGAAAAUAAUUAGCAUCACAUGUCAUGUGCAUGGAAGUUGCUGAACCAAUUAACCAACUACAAGGAUAACUGUUAAUAGCACCAGCUUUCCUAUAUUUAGUUUGCUUUCUGUUGCCACCCAGUGCCACUUUGUUUUGUACGAUUCCUUGCAAAUGAAGGAAAACAACGUUUCUGCUUGUAUAUGUUGAUAAUAUAAUUUUGGUUACUGAGGACAAACAAGAUCGUACAAAAACAAGAUUGGGUGCAGGCCUGGCCAGGACAUAGGCAUCCUGACUGUGACAAAGGUGACCUAUGUGCUUGCUUGCUUGUUUAACAGCUGUUGGGAACUUCAAGGUCCCUGCUCUCCCUUCUUAUUGUCUCUGUACUGGACCUGGAGACUCCAAUAGAGAGCAUUCCAUGUCAAGAAGGAGGGCAAGUGGGCACCCUAUCAAAUGACAGGGCAGGAGCUACACGGAGCAGGGCCUUUUCACUAGUGGUGCCCACUGUAUGCCUUGCUCUUCCCAGACCUGCACUCUUUUGGCCUGUAUUUUGGAGCUUUAUAAGUUAGGAAGACUUUGGAAGAACUGUUUGACAAGUCUUAUCAGUCGCUGACGUAUGAACAGAUUUUAUUUGCUGCUAUUCUGGGCUUCUGGUGCACCAGGGUUUACGCCAGCAUAAUAGAGUUGGCCAGGAUGUCAGAAGGGAUACACUUUACGAGCUUUCUCCAUUAUCUGCACAGCAAGGGGUGUUCAGUCAACAGUGCAAAGGCUGAGCUGAAGCAUUCCCUGCUGGUUACCUGCUUUCAGCAAUGGGGUCACUGUUUGGUAGUACCCAAUUGGUUAGCUGUCAGAUUCUAGAGCUCUCUAUUGGUGGCUCUUAGGUAAUUCACAAAAUACAGAAACAUAGUGUUCAUUUAUAAAGCAGUAACACAAAUCUCCAUUGCUACGUAUUGGAUGUAUAUUUCAGCGGUUGAACGUACAGGUUUAUGGCCAUGCUGUAGUGUAGUGCUUAUGCGACUGUGAAUAAAAGGUGGCUGGGCUCAUUGUCUCGAGGUUUGGAGGGGAGAGGUGACAAAACUGAUUUCCAAUAAGUGCCCCCCCCAUUUCCAUAACAAGUCCUUGAGUCUGUACUCUGAAUAGUGACACCAGGGACCUAGAAGGUGCAGGGCUUGUCAGUCCAACCCCUGCAAAGUCUCAUCAGGGCUGACCUUAAGGCAAUUGGAGCAAUUUGGCCAAAUUGGGCCCCGCGUGCUGCUCCUAAAGGGACCCCUGCAGCAGGGCAAUCUAGAUGGAUUUUAUUUAUAUCUAUAAGAUUUUGAAGAUUUUGGCUGUGAACUGGGGCCCUAAAAAAAAUAAAAAAUCAAGUUGUGCCCCACUGCUUCAAAUUGGGCCCCACUGGCUAGCCCUGAGUCUCAUAGUUGCUGGGCCUGAGUUGCCUUUCCAUGAAGUCUUGGGUUGCAAUUUUGGGAGAGGGGAGACUGCCCUCUGGGGAGCGGGCUGGCUGGCGAGGGCCCCUAGAUGUAGAGGCCCUAGACUUCAGCCUACUUAGCCUAUACAUAAAUCCGUCACUGGCUGCAACCCCAUAGUUGCCUUUGAUUGGACUUAACCAUCCGGGGUCCUUUAGUUUUACCUUUACCUUUACAGUGGUACCGGGUUAAGAACUUAAUUCGUUCUGGCGGUCAGUUCUUAACCUGAAACUGUUCUUAACCUGAGGUACCACUUUAGUUAAUGGGGCUUCCCGCUGCCGCCGCACCACUGCCGUGUGAUUUCUGUUCUCAUCCUGAAGCAAAGUUCUUAACCCGAGGUACUAUUUCUGGGUUAGCAGAGUCUGUAACCUGAAGCGUCUGUAACCUGAAGCAUCUGUAACCCUAGGUACCACUGUACGUAGUAUUACAGCCUUUUAUACUCACUUCCCUGUGAGUAAGACCCAUCAAACUCAAUCGAACUUACUUCUGAGCAAGUAUAAGAUACACUAUAAAUAAAAUAAUAAAGUGUCUGCUUAUCGCCACAGCAAGCAUCCAGUGCCACAAUUUAUUUUCAAGAACAUGCAUACCUGUUCUAGAACCACAGCAAAGAUAAGAGGAAUUUAAGAACAAAUAAUCUGCAGCUGCUUUACAGAUGUUAACAUAAAAAGUUGUGCUGCACGACCGUACAUUUUAUUUAUUGCACUGUGAACUUCUCACAGCAGCCUGUUGAUUAUUACCAGGUGUACUUUUCUUCAUAAUCCAUUAAGUAUUUUUGAAUUUUAAUCCAGUCCUGGCUAUUUUUCAAUAGCCUGUUUUGCAUUUACCCUUCCCCGAAUUUCUUUUGAGUAAAACCUACUUUAUUUUCUGCUUCUUCAAGAUGCUGCAUGAUUUAGCAAUGCCGGAAAAUGCUUUAUUACUUCACUAUAGCACCGUGGUGUAGGGGUUAGUGUGUUGAACUAGGGCCUAGGAGGUCAGGGUUCAAAUCCCUGUUCAGUCACGAUGCUCCCUAGGUGACCUUGGGCCCAACCUCUUAGCCUAAUCUACUUCACAUGGUAGUUUUGAGAGUAAGAUUAACAAGCAUAUGCCAUCUUCUGCUCCAUGGGGGAAAGAGGGGAUAUAAAUGCAAGAAUAGAUAAAAUAAAAUGCCAGAAAACAUUUUAUUAAUCAAGAUAUUUAUUUAUUUAAUAAUUUUUAAAUUAAAUUUUCUGUUAUACAAUUUAAAAUACUAAUUUUAACAUCCUUAAAAUAUACAAUUUAAAAUACUAAUUUUAACAUCCUUAAAAUAUCAAUGACUUCCCUUCUUCUCUUCCCAUGGUUCGUUUUGCAUAUCAUAGAUUCCUGCAUAUUUUACAAAAACUAAACCAUUCAAUAUUCCAUUAAUACACCCACCAAACCUUAUUUUCACUGUUGAAAUUAUAUUAAUGCUGCUAACAUUUUCAGGUGUACACAGCCCCCCCAUAUAUACAAUAAACAUUUUCCAAUCUUCUCUAAACGUAUGUUCUUCUUGUUCUAAUUCUAUAUGUUAAAUCUGCAAACUGUGCAUAUUCUGUCAGCUUAAGUUGCCAUUCUUCUUUAGUUGGGAAUUAAGCAGGAUAUUUAUAGACACAAAUAAAGGAAAGACCAUGCCCCCUAACUUAGGGAUGGUCAUAACUAUUAUAUAAUCAUCUUCUUCUUUCUUUGGCAAUCACUCGUAGCCGAGUAAGAUUGUCUUCCAUAAACACGGUUUUAACAGUGAGUCCGUAAGUGACUGUGGAGGCCAAUUCUGGAUCCACACAUCCUUCCACAGUGGGGACAUUGGUUCCCGGGGGGGAGUUGAUCACGGUGUGGAUUUGCCAAGCAUGCCUUCCUCUUAGCACGUUUCUCCCUUUCGUCUUGAGUUCAAGUGUCUUCAAAGCCCAUGUCACCUUUGGUAAAGGCUGUUCUCCAACUGGAGCACUCGCAGGCCAGUGUUUCUCAGUUGUCAGUGUUUAUACUACAUUUUUUCAGAUUUGCCUUGAGAGAGUCUUUAAACCUCUUUUGUUGACCACCAGCAUCAAACUUUCCAUUUUAAUUAAAGCCUUCAGCUAUGGAUGAGGUUCUUCCCUGUAUACAGACUUCAAGGACCUCAACAGAUGAAGAGCAAGGAAAGUGUGAGAUCCAGGCAGCAGUUCCCAAUACUUCAUAGGUGUCUUUGCACUGCACCAACUCUGCCACCAUCUUGCCUCUCCGCCUUUCUCCCUCCUGUUCAGAAGCAGUGCCCCACCUGCCGGAAAGCUAGAGUAGCAGCUCUGCUCCCCCCUAGUGAUCUGCUUCUGCCAUGGACACAGAAAAGAUAGGAGAGACAAUAGGAAACCCAAACCUUGGUGUGCUGCUUUCUGAAUUAUGAAUUAUGAAUUAUGAAGUGAUGCUGAAAGCUGCUGCAAGUUAACCCUAAUAAAAAUGUUGUGUGUUCUUUCAUACUAAGGCACUUCCUUCUUGGUUAUUUAUUUAGAGCUAUUUCAACUGGCUCCACUGAAGAGGCUCCCAUGCUGGCUUACUCACAAUGAAUUGAGGCAAGGUAGCCCCUGCCCAUAGGCUUAUCCAUGACACAAAAGGAAAGAGUGAUGGGCAGGGAAGAGGAGGGGAGAAGCAAGCUUGGGUACCAAUUCUUAAAGCUCUUAUAUUUACUAGCUGGAGUGAAAAUAGUUCAAGGACCUUCGGAGCCUGAAGGUGUUGGCCAGGGCCGGAUUUAGGUUUGAUGAGGCCCUAAGCUACUGAAGGUAAUGGGGCCCUUUAUAUGUCCAGCUGUCCUCUGUCAACAACAAAUUGUCACUGUUUUUGUUGUUGAAUAUAUGCUAUAGGUAAUUUAUGGACCUAGUAGGUCCAUACACAACACAAAACACUGUUGCUGUAUGUAGGUUUUAUUUUAUAAGUUUUUUAUCUUAUAUGUUGGAAAUGUACAUCCAGUUUUUUUCCUUUAAUUUUUUUGGGGAGCCCCCAAGAGAGUGGGGCCCUAAGCUAAAGCUUGUUUAGCUUAUAUGUAAAUCCGGCACUGGUGUUGGCCAUUUAGAGGAGCUGGUUAAAUAAUAGUGCUUCCCAUCUCUCCUACCUCUUCAGCCUCUUCUAAUGGUUUUAAUGGUUAACAUUCCAGCUUGUUUCCCCCCACCCUGUGCAGUUGGCCUCAUCCCUUCACUCCUAAUCUAUUUCUGGUUGUUCCUUCCAGCCCAUCUCUUAAAAGUUGACCUUACUCUCACGCUUGGAACUCAUCACUUGGGAAACUUUGUUUUGUUUUGUCUGAUGCUGUGCAUACACGUUUCCUAUUUAAGUUGUGUAACACAAAUAGAGCUGGAAGAUCAUUAUCCACAAUCUGUCUUGUUGCUUCUAGUAUAUAUAUCUAUUUCUGUUAAAAUCAGUGGGAAUGUGUAGCUACUACUCAGAACCAUCUGUGGGGCAGGGGUGACUAACCUGUGGCCUUGGUGUCACUGGUAGGGAUGUCAAAGAAAGGAAGCAGAAGCUGUUGCUAUCUGUCUGUGGUCAGGAAUAGGAAAUCAGGCACGCAAAUGCCAUCGGUAUUCACAUCUUGUUCCCACCCCCAAAAGUCCACAAACGAUACAUAACAAAUGACCUUUUAAAUAUUGUUUGGAUGUUUCAUUUACAAUGAAAUGAAUGUAAGUUACAGAAAUAGUUACGUAACUUACGUAGCCUACAUUAAAUGGAGAUGCACAACAUAGCAUGUAACUGCAGCGGAAAGGAAACAGCGCUGAUUGUGAAGAAUACAGAAGGGAUGGAAAUUGCUGCCUUCUUACAUCCCUAGUGGCUGGACUACAACUCCUAUUAUCCCUGACUAUUAAACCAUGCUAGCUGGAGCUGAUGGGAGUUGGAGUCCAACAAGAUAAUUGUUUUUUCCCCUCUUAUGUUUUUAUUGUAAUUUUACUUGUGUUAGCCACCCUGAGCCCGGCUCUGGCCAGGAAGGGGUAUAAAAAAAUUAUUAUUAUUAUUAUUAUUAUUAUUAUUAUUAUUAGGGCUGCAGAUUUCCUAUCCCUGAUCAAGGAGUUGCUGCUGAACCCAUGAUAUUUACAAGCUUUUAAAUUAAGAAAGCAUCUUGUGAGAACUUCAAGAACAGCAAAUGUAUAUUAUGGCAUAAUCUUUGGGGGUGCACUGUGCUCCCCAAAAGCUAUAGCAAGACUCUUCCUUGAUUUUGCUGCAAGAGAUUAGCAUGGCUAUUGCUCCGGAGAGCGUCUUCAUAUAAUAUUGAAACGAUCAAACCAAAACAAUGAACUUGUAUAUAAGGAAAACUUAAAAUAAUAUAUUCAUCAAAAGAAGGAUCUCGAUGAGAACACACAAGUGUCUAGAUUUCAAGGUUAACAUUUGCUAAAGCAAUUGGAAAGGUUUGCCUCCCACCUCCUCCACGGCUCCCUUGCUCUCUCUUAUCAUCUCUUUCUGCAUUUCUAUAUUUAAUCUGAAUUUCUCUUAUGCUUUCCUCCCUUUCUGCUACUGCUUCAGACUUCUCUUAGCAACUGCUGCCCACACUUCCUUGGGGAGGCCUGCCUCACAGUUGGAGAGCCGUGGGUGUACUCUACUUAAAGACACAUUUUUUGUUUUGUUUUUAAAUCUCCCAGCAGAAAAAACUACAGUAUAAGCCAAAUCCUGGAGUAAAAAAAAAGAAGAAGUAGAAACUUCACAAAUCACUUUCUUUUUUUAACAGAGCCUCACUAGAAAUGUGUGAGGUUCCCUCCUCACCCCAAGAUAUCAGUUUAUACCAUACUUUCCUUAACAGUGUUAAUGGAACAAAAAAACCUGGUUCUCAGAAUUGGCAUUCAGGGGAUAUACCUUGAAGGAUCUCUGUGCAAAAGAUUAUAUCAGGUGAAAUGAGAGGCAAAGGGAGGCUGAACAUGGCCAAAUUUCUGGGGGCUCAGCCCUGUAGCCAGGGUGAGGCUAAAGGGCACACUGGAACGCGGGUAGCACUGUGGUCUAAACUACCGAGCCGCUUGGGUUUGCCAAUCAGAAGGUCGGUGGUUCAAAUCCCCACAAUGGAGUGAGCUCCCUUUGCUCUGCCCCUGCUCCUGCCAACCUAGCAGUUCGAAAGCACACCAGUGCAAGUAGAUAAAUAGGUACCACUGCGGUGGGAAGGUAAAUGACAUUUCCGUGCACUCUGGUUUCUGUCAUGCUGUCCUGUUGCACCAGAAGCGGUUUAGUCAUGAUGGCCACAUGACCUGGAAAGCUGUCUGCUGACAAAUGCCAGCUCCCUUGGCCUGAAAGCAAGAUGAGUGCCUCAACCCCAUAGUCGCCUUUGACUGGACCUAACCAUCCAGGGGUCCUUUACCUUUUUUACCUUUUAAAGGGUACACCAUCCCCUCUACAGAGCUGUGCAUUGCUCCCACUCAAUUUUUUUUUUUGGGGGGGGGAGGACAUAAUUAUAUUUAAAUUUGUGGUAUGACAAACAAUGACAGCCUCUAUUUCAAGAACGACAGCUUGUUUUAAAGUAAACACUGGAGCAGUUUAAGACUAGAACCCUAAAAUAAAAAUUCAGUGAAUAAGGCAGGGUGAGUGCACAGCAAAAACUGUACCUGGAAGAGUGGGUGGGUUUUCCAUGAUCGCAGUCAACCUGUUUCUUAAGGGAUCCUGGGAAAAAACCCCAGUCCAUAUGGGAAUGUGACCCAUAAAGAGUUAAACAUUAGAACUUUGCAUUAUGGGCUAGAGUUAGAGACCUUGGCCUUUGGACUCCCCACUGCUUUACAGUUUCAGUUUCAGUUGUGUUCUCUACCCAGCCAGCAACAAAGAAUCAUGUUUGUUUGCCUGCAGUCAGAAGCAAGAGUUUGUUUAUUCUGCGCUUAUUAGGAUGAGUAGAGCAGGACUGGAUGAUUAUUGCUAAAGGAUGAAAUAAAGAGAUUGCAAAGUGUAUCUGUUCUCCCUUUUACUAGCUGCAGUUUUCAAGAAGGCUUCUUUUAAGGCCUAAUUUCAGGCGUGGUGGUGGGGAGACAAGGGGAAGUCCCCUAAAGGCACCAGGGGAGGCCUUUGUGGCUGCAUUUCUGCCCAUGGGCGUGAUGCUGGCAACCCUUCCAACUUCUGUUAUAUUAUAUAUUAUGAAAGAUCUUUAGAAAUAGGUAGCGGGAUGAAUCUCCUCUAGAUAAAUCCAUUCCUCCAUUCACUGAAUUUUUGCCUUUUGUGCAUCAACUCUUUGAUGGAACACUUUGUCUUGAUCUUAAACGGUGUUAUCAAAAUAAGAGAGAUAUUUCUGCAUACAGGAAACCAUAAUAUGCACACAGCAUCCCUUCAAAAUCUCAUGGAUCUUCCCGAAUUGACUAAAUAUGGUAAAUCCACGGCAGGUGGCAGCUUUCAAUAGCAUUACCACUGGGAAAGAUGGAAACAGCAGAACUUCCACUUCAUCUUGGGGGAGGUGGUGGCCUCUAGGAAUGGCAUUCGUACUGCUUUCAGAUAUUUUCAAGCCUGUAGGAUUAGGCGGUUUUAAUGUGACUCCAAAGCCGUUUUGGAAGUACAUUUCUCCCGAGGAUUAGAGUGUGGGCGAGAGAUCUGUAAAUAGUAUUUAUAAAGCUAGCAUAAAUAGCAGGUGCUUUUAACAUGUCUAGCUCAAUAUUGGUUAAGUAUAUGAAAACUAAAUUAGAAGUCCCCCCACUCCACCCAAUGCUUUUUGCAUGGCCACACAGAGAGCCCAUCUGUGUUAAUCUAUUCUUGAAGCUUGUUUCAAGGCAAGGGAAUGGAGUCUUGGACAAUUGCAUUGGGCCUUCUAUCUGCCAAGUGCUUUAGGAAUCAGGUUGCAAUUUUAUAAUGAUGCUGGGGCAGUAAAUGAGCGCAUAGCUGGAUGACACUCAAACUUGUGCCUGUGGUUAGCAUCAGUUAUCACAGAAUAAAUAAGCCCAGCAUAGCCAAUGGUUGAUAAGCAACAUCUGGAGAGCCAAAGGCUCCUGGAUUAGGAGAAGUUGAAAGAUGUGGACUGUGGACUGAAGCAGAGAGGAAAUGUGUUGAAAGCCAACGCUGAAAAGCCAUUACGAAGUCUAUGGCACAGUGGAAGUAGAUUGAAAGUGCAAACCAGAUAUUGAUUAGAUCAGAUGGGAAGUGAACAAGUCAGUGUUCAGGGGUUGAUGAUGCUAAGGCUGAGGUUACAGUGGAGAUUCAGGAUAGAAUCUCCUGGUGUGUGAGGUUGGGUGUAUGUAUAAGCAACUGGGUGGUGUUGGGAGAUGUUUGGAUCAGAACUGCAACGCUGGGAAGGGUGAACAUGUACGUUUUCCCUAGCAGUGCAAAUAGAAGCUUUGAGCGAUAAUUUCCAUCAGGAAAAUGGCAUGGUGGUGGUGGGUACAAAUUUACUGCACCUUUUCCAGUGCCACUGUCCCAGUCUGAAUCACUCACCCCCAUACUACCUCAUCUAGCCUGGCCAAGAAUGAAUGUGUAAUAUAGUCUUGAUGAUUGCAAGAGCUUGCUUUAAAAUGGGGUUGGUGUAUCAGAUGAUGGGUCACUGAGACCCAUUCCUUUGAAGUCUGUUCUUCUUUUCAAACCACUUGCCAACAGACUUUAGCUCUAAUCAGCUGAUGGGAGCUGAGAGCCAUCAACCUGAGGUCUGUUUGCUUGCACUAAGAACUAUCCCCCUUUGAAAGUGAGAUCUUGCAUAAAUCAGCUGAUUGGCACUGAAAGCGAGCCCCUUUCAAGUUAUCACCUCAGACCAUAACUGCAUCAGGUGAUUGACAGGUGGGUGGCCCCAUCCACCUUUCAAGAUUUACCCAUGGAGGGUGGGGAAAGGAUUCAGCUGGUAGGUUGUUCCCCCACUCCUGGUAUAUUAGGGGAGUUUUUAAUGUUUAGUGUUCUGUUUUAUUUGUUUUUUUUAAAUUUUUUAGUCAGGAGCCGCCCAGAGUGUCUGGGGGCAACCUAGUCAGAUGGGCGGCAGAUAAAUAAUAAAAUUAUUAUUAUUAUUAUUAUAUUGUAGUUGCAAUGGGUUUUGUUCAGAAUGCCGUCUAACAAACACACCCAGAGUUCUCCUCUGUACAUUACAGUGAGAUGCAUUUGUGCUACCAACUUGUGUCUCACCUCUUGUCUUCCUGGAAAGGAAAAAAGGAAACCCGCACUCCUUGAUCUGAUGUCCUCAUGUUAGCAUUUUCCAGUUCCCUGCUCUGUUUCCUUCAGUACCGCUUGUGGAAGGUGGGAGAAUGCGUGUGCCGCGAUGUCGCAUCAGACUUUCCUCCCAAUUGCAUGACGUUACUAGGGAGAGAUGUGGGUCAGUAGUGCCUGCAAUGUGUACUUAUCCCUUUACAUGGAGCUUGUCUCUUUCUGUUGAUUCUUUCAAUAGGGGAGGAACAGGCAAAUAAUCCGAAGGGCUGCUCACACGGAAACUGGAGAUUUGCUUAACCCAAAUCCCUCAAGAACGACAUAUGAAUUGAUAUUGGCUGAAUACCUAAAUCAGUCGGCGGCGAAAUGCGAUGAAGUGGUUCUUCCCUCCCCGUUCAAGUGUGGGAGAAUAAGAAAAGCUCUAAUAGAAAUGAAUAGAAAGUGAUGACCUGAUGAGACAAUCGCGCCACAAGGUGUCUGAUUGCACAAAGAGGACACAUUUACCUCUGAGAAGGGGAUUGUGUCGCAAAUACACCCAGCUCAGCUGCCGGAAGGAGGAGGGUAGUGAAGGCAGCCUUGGUCUCUGCUGCGCCCUGUGCAUACAGAAGAGCAUUUUGCUAAUUCAGGCAUCUCAUUAGAAAUCAUUGCCCUACUUUUCCAUACCCCUCAGUUCCAAAAUGCUCCCAAACUGACAGCACUUUUACAUAAAACCACAGGGAAGGCAGUCCCAGAGAAGGAAGGCGGAGUGUAUUCAGACUUUGAGACCCACUUAUAGCCCUGAAAGCUGUCUAGGCAGGGCAUUCUGCUUGGGGAAGAAGUAAAAUCUCAGUAAGCUAUUAUGGGACUGAAGUGCUGCUUGGAGACACACACAAAAAGAAGCAAAGAAUCCCCAGGGGAAAAGCAUCUCUUGCAAGUUUUUGACAGGAGUAGGUGUUCAGGCAGAGAUUCUGUUUUUGUAUUCCUCCCUCCGGCAAAUUUCAUAUAUUUUCUGUUGUUCCUUGAUUUGAUUCCAUUCGUGAGUCACUUCACAUUAAAGAUCUCAAAGUGGUUUUACAGUAAAAACAAAAACAAACCACACAUCAACAAUGAAAACAAUUUGGGGGGGAAAUUCUGUAUGUAAAAAAGAAUUUUAAAAAAAUUCUAUGUAUAAAAAAGAAUUAAAAGCAAUCUCCUAUGUGUAAAUGUAUGAGCCCAUAUGUAUAUGAACUCAAUAUACAUACUGAUUGGGAGAAAGAUCUCAGGUUAAAAGGCUUGUUGAAAAAUAAGGCACCAAAAACGUGUCGAAAAGAGACAGCACCUGUUCCGAUGUGUAACUGAUAUAUGUCACCAUAGCAGAAUAAUUUCCAUAUUGGAUUCUGGUUCCAAUGGUUCUAAGGCCACCACAUGAGGCCACCUCUUUGCUGAAGCUAUAAUAAUAAUAAUGAUAAUAAUAAUAAUAAUAAUAAUAUAUUUGUACCCCGCCCAUCUGACUGGGUUGCCCCAGUCACUCUGGGUGGCUUUCAACAUAUAUAAAAACAUAAUAAAACCUUAAACCUUAAGAAGCCUCAGUGCCUGGAUGGAGUAAUCAGAAGCAUGCAGCCGCAGGUUCCAUGAUGGAUAAAAGGCAGGAUAUAAAUAUAAGAAAAUGAAUAAAUUAUGUUGGCUGUAUUUCGUAUUUGUUUCACAAAUGCCAUUGUUGCUCACCACCAUGCCCCCCCUCCACCCUUGAUGUUGGUGGUUUAGAAACAUUUACACGUAAAUAAAUCUGGGAUGGAAUCCUCAAACGCAGACUAGCACACAAGUGCAUAGGAGAGCAAUCAGUCACCACAGCAUAAGCACAAUGUAUAGUACAGGGGUACCUCGGGUUACAUACGCUUCAGGUUACAUAUGCUUCAGGUUACAGACUCUGCUAACCCAGAAAUAGUACCUCGGGUAAAGAACUUUGCUUCAGGAUGAGAACAGAAAUCGUGCUCUGGCGGCGCGGCGGCGGCAGGAGGCCCCAUUAACUAAAGUGGUGCUUCAGGUUAAGAACAGUUUCAGGUUAAGAACUGACCUCCGGAACGAAUUAAGUUCUUAACCCGAGGUACCACUGUACACUGGCUUCAGUAGCUGGCAGCUUGGUGGGGUGUCAGUACCUCCAAUUGGUCACGUUGCUGCUGCUUACGGGGAGGUAGAGAGAGGGGUGCAGUGGCAGUGAGGCUGAUGGUGUGUAAAUGCACUGGCAGAUUGCACCGCAAUGUGUUUGCACCUGUCAGGUGUGGAGAAUCCUCUCCUCCACCAGUAGCAUCAGAGGCAAGAAUAACAUGCAGUUCGUAAUUUAUAGAGCUUUUAUUCAGUCAUCUGGCUGAGAGACAAAGAAUCCAUAUCUCCACACAUGAAGAGAAGUUGGCUACUCUGAGCCCCUCCUCUUCCGUCCCCAACAACAUCCUGAAAGUUUACAGGAAGUCCCCGGAGUCAUACUCCUUCACAUUCUUUGUUCUUGAAUGCGUAGGGACCUAGGAGCCCUUGGGGAGUCAGGAUCUUCCAGACUCUCCAGGGAGGUCUCUGCUGGCUGCUCCCCCUCCUCCUCCACUAUGUCAUAACUAGGCAUUUCUUCCUGCAGCUGUGAAGCAGCCCUUUCUCCUUCUGAAAUGAUGGGGGGGGGCUGUUCACUCCUCUUCCCCUUCAGAGAGAAGCUGAUCAGGCUGAGGGAAAACUUCUCAGUCCUCCUGUUCAGUCCAGUUCCUGACAUCACCACAGUGACCUUGCCCUCUCUCCCUGCUCCCUCUACCUCCCAGGAAGCAUCAGCACAACCAACUGGAGGUCAGCGGUGUAGCUCUGUCACACUAGGUAAGGGUAAAGGAAAAGGACCCCUGGACAGUUCAGUCCACUCAAAGGCGACUAUGGAGUUGCGGUGCUCAUCUCGCUUUCAGACCAAGGGAGACGGUGUUUGUCCACAGGCAGCUUUCCAGGUCAUUUGGCCAGCAUGACUAAACCUCUUCUGGCUCAACGGGACACCGUGAUGGAAACCAGAGCGCACGGAAAUGCUUUUUCCCUUCCCACCGCAGUGGUACCUAUUUAUCUACUUUCACUGGUGUGCUUUUGAACUGCUAGGUUGGCAGGAGCUGGGACAGAGCAACGGGAGCUUACUCUGUCGUGUGAAUUCGAACUGCUGACCUUUUGAUCAGCAAACCCAAGAGGCUUGGUGGUUUAGACCAUAGCGCCACCCGUGUCCCCAUCCGCUAAUGGCUCACUUUGUGGGCACAUCUGAUUAAGAACACACAAACUAUUUUAAGGUAAUAGCUCAAGAUGGCAGGCUCAGGCAGGCUGCUUGAUAAACUGUCUCUGAAUUUUGGUAUCUCCCAGUAUCUCUGUUUAUUCCACUUUGACCAUCAGAUUUUAAUAUCUUCCUACCAGAGCUGCUGAGUCAUCCUGAUCUUCUUAAAAACAAAAAGCCUUUGAAGCUGAGGCACGACAACAGAACUGUGUGAAGUGAAUCCAAACACUUUACUAUCCUUCCUCCCGUUUCAGUGCCAGAGACUUUAUCUGUGAAAAUAAAAUAAAUCAAAGCCGUGUGGCGUGUCUAGAUGUGAUUCUGCUUGGCAUUGUCUGUCUAUGUCGGUCCUCUCUCAUUCUGGUAUAGGGUAUGGAAGAUCCAAAUAAAGAUGAUUUCAAUACAUAUUUCAAAAAAAAUAAGUCUAUCACAGAGGACUGUUUUUAAAGGAAGCAUCCAGAUGUGGAACUGCCUCCGUCUUCAUAACAGUGUUGCAGAGCCUGCAGAGAAAAAGAGUUCUCACUCUUUCAUGUGUUCAAAAUGUUCUGUGCAUGCAGCAAUAGAGCUUUAGAGGAAAUGUCCCUCUAUUUGUCAAGCCAUUUCCCCGCUGUCUUUUAUGCUGUUCCUUAAGACAGAGUACCGUAUUUUUUGCUCUAUAAGACUCACUUUUUCCCUCCUAAAAAGUAAGGGGAAAUGUGUGUGCAUCUUAUGGAGCGAAUGCAGGCUGUGCAGCUAUCACAGAAGCCAGAACAGCAAGAGGGAUUGCUGCUUUCACUGCACAGCGAUCUCUCUUGCUGUUCUGACUUCUGAGAUUCAGAAUAUUUUUUUUCUUGUUUCCCUCUUCCAAAAACUAGGUGCGUCUUGUGGUCUGGUGCGUGUUAUAGAGCGAAAAAUGCGGUAUUUAGCAAAGACAGGGGGGGGGCAGUGAAUAUCUCUGCCCCAUGACACUUUCCAGAGGGUGCCAAGCUUUCAGCCUGUCAGCUAGAGGGGGAGGGGAGUGGACCUUUGCUUGCACCCGUGCUCCUUGAGAGAACAGAUAACCAUUUCUCUCCUCUCCCUCCCAUCUUAAUCCUUCAUUUACAGAGCAUUCAGUGAGUCAAAAGACAGGUAACAAGGGAACAAUGGCUUGACAAUCAAGGCAGCAGGGAGCCCCAUAAACCCUGCAGGGUGGCCGUUGCCAGCCUGAUAAAGAGAAACAUAGUCCUUGUUUUGAUUCUAAACUCAGCUUUAUUUCUCCACUGUAACAUUCUUUGAUUUCUAAAUGUAAAAAAUGUAUCUGGGCAAAAGACUGGAUAUUGUGUAUCUAGAAGUGUGUCUUGAGAAGUGUGGUUACAGGGAACUAGGCAGAGGGCCUUCUCGGUAGUGGCUCCCGCCCUGUGGAACGCCCUCCCAUCAGAUGUCAAGGAAAUAAACAACUAUCUGACUUUUAGAAGACAUCUGAAGGCAGCCCUGUUUAGGGAAGUUUUUAAUGUUUGAAGUUUUCUUCUGUUUUUAAUGUUCUGUUGAAAGCCGGCCAGAGUGGCUGGGGAAACCCAGCCAGGGAACCCGGUGAAGUAGAGUCUCAGGUAGAGUUAAUAAUGAACAUUAAAGUUAAUUUAAAAUACAAACAAGUUUUAAAAUAUAUUCAAAACGCUGUCACUCUAUUCCCUCUUAGUCUUGUUCCUGUCUCUAACUCAUUCUGACUCCUCUAUCUCCCCCCCAAAGGAACCAACCAAACUAACUGUCAAAACCUCUGGGCUGAGCCUCAAAAUCAGGUAGGCUCCGCCCCCAGGCUUUCUUAUUGGUCAACCUAUUAACCCUUUCUCCCCCCAAUACAAAUGUAUCCCCAAAGAACGGGCAAACGCCACACUAUGCCUCACGUUUCUGAUGUGGGUCAUUAUGUGGGUCUGGCACUGUGGGAGGGCAUGGAAAAGGCAAGUCCACUAGGCUUUACAGCCACCUUCAUCAUUCCUGGUCAACGGAUGACUCAAGGAGAGAUCUAAUUGAGUGGUGAGUUCUUUGAGUGUGGGGAGAAUUUGCAUUGGCCAAAAUUCCCCCCACUUUAAUCUUACAUCUGUUGUUAUUAUGAUUAUUGUAUUUAUAUAUUUGCACUCUUCCUUCUCUCUUUAGAGUCAUGAGAACCAGUGAUAAGCUUGUUGUAAAUAUGUGCGUUGGCUUUUUCAGAUUCAGAUCUCACUCCCCCUUCUGCUUUAACCAUGUUAUUUACAAUUCUUUAUAUUAAUGGGGAAGGACUUGAGACUUACAGUGUGUAACAACUUUUAAAGACUUUAACUAAUCUCUAAAAAAUAAUCCAAUGCCAUUUUAAAAUGUGUUGGAGUGGGUUAUUGAAUUGCUUUUGCUUUUAUUUUGAUUAUGUAUUUUGUGUUUUUAUAUUGUGAUUUUAUUUUGUGAACUAGCCUGAGACCUGCGGUUAUUGGGCAGUAUAUAAAUUUAUUUAUUUAAUUAAUUGUUACUAAUUUCCCAGUCAUCCUAGAUAUGCAACAGGAUCUUAGGAAAACAAGAUAAGUUAGACAAACACACCCAGGUGUUUUAACCUCAUGUUUUUCUGUGCAAACCCUUUCAAUUCAGCCUGGCUGACCAGUGCUUGCCAGGGAACUGUAUUUGUCAGGAAACAAAAAGAGGGGUGGUAAAAGCCUCAAAAAUACCACACACAGAGAGAGAGAGAGAAACCAGAAGAACUUGGCUGCUCUUAUGGAAAUGAAGCCUUGUAACCAAAGAAAUCCAAUUCAAAACCUGACCUCAGAUAGACAAUUGCUGCACAUGGAAGCUCUACUUUUAACAAACAAUUUACUUUUUCCCUUUGGUCAUCCAGUCAUAAUACUUCUUAGAAUUCCUCAAAUGAUCUAUUACUCUGAGGAGAUCUACUUUAAGACUGAAUGAAAGCCAGAUACAUACACAGACAAGUUUACUAUUUGGAGAGGCUAUCUCUUCUCCAGCCUCUUUCAAACUACUUUCUAUGCCCUUUAUGAACAAAUGUGUUGAGGUGUGUGUGUAUGCAAACCCACAUGGGGUGUGUGUGGCAAGGCUAGUUUCUGCCCUGAGCAAAGGCUUCCUAAAGGUAACACACCCAAGCCUUAAAAAAACCCCAAAGCUCUCUACCCCACUUAACAACUCAUCCCCAUUACCUGCUGUCUUUUCUUUAACUUGCAUUCUUUUCUUUUUCAUGCCAAUGUACCGUAUUUUUCGCUCUAUAACACGCACCCGACCAUAACACGCACGUAGUUUUUAGAGGAGGAAAACAAGAAAAAAAGUAUUCUAAACGAAACAGUGGAUGUAUUAUUUUUGUGGUUCAUGCUGUGGCCACAGACAUGUGAUCUGACAGUGAGUUUGGAGUAGCCCAAUGCAAAAAUCCUGAGGAUCCAUGUGGAUCCAUGCUUUGUAAACACGUUUUUGCACCACUGUGGCCCCAGGCAACGGUGGGUGCGUGAUUUUUUUGGUGCAAGAUGUAGCCAUGGACAUGUUAUGUGAUGGUGAAUUUGGGGUGACCCAGUGCAAAAAUGCUGAGGAUCCAUGUGGAUCCGUGCUUUGUAACCACAUUUUAAGUGGGGAGGGAAGGAAAAGCACUCAAGGGACAAGGAGAAGGAUGCUGCUAAUAAUGAAGAAGAGGGAUAUAAGGGGAGAAGGCUCCUCUCCUCUCCCGCUUUGCUCCUUUAAAGCAAGCAGGCUCUCUGUCCCUCUCUCCUCCCCACUCAGCGGCUCUUCUCCCGCUUUGCUGUUUCAAAGCGAGCCACGGAGGAGGGAAGGAAGGGGAACCAUGGAUCCUCUGCUCACGACUGCAGCAGAUCCCCCCCCCCGCCACCCAUAGGCAUUCCCUCCAUAACACGCAUAGACAUUUCCCCUUACUUUCUAGGAGGAAAAAAGUGAGUGUUAUGGUGCAAAAAAUACGGUAAGUAGUGCCACGACCAUGCAAAUCUUUCUGGCAUCUAGCACGCUGCUAGCACUAUUAGUAUUGUGAAUUAGUCAUCUAUGGUGCAACCGCAUUUGGAAUGCUGUGUGCAGUUCUAAUAAUAACCCCAAAUAAUACAGGAACAUAGGGCACUAGCUGCCUUAUAUCGAGUUCUGUAUAUCCUCUUUCCUGUAAUUGGGGCCUCAAUCUCCUUGCCUCCCCAAACUAGACCUGAAGAUGGCCCAGGCAGAAACCAGGAGAUUUUGCAAGCAGAAAGAUGCUUGCAAAGCAAAUCAUUCCCAGAAGUCUUAAGCAAGGAGGAUUUUCUUUUAGCCAUUAGGAAAAAGUGCGGAUAUUCUUCAAAGGGAACAUUUUACGGUGUGGUGAUAGUGGCCACGACACUAUAUUGUGAAAAGAGGAUUAUUCAAUGAGGGGAAAGUCAAGCAGUUCCAUAGUCAUCUCUCCCCCUCCCACAUUUCUUAAGUCAGUCAUUUCCUCCCUGAAAUUUAGGAAAUGCUAGUAGGCAGCCCUGUGAUAUUAAAUGUUUUGUCUAAAUGAAUUUCCACUCUAGUGUAGUGGAAGACAGCAGGAACCCCAUUAAUCCUCCAGGUUUUAAGUGUCAAGCCCAGCCAAGAAGUCUCAACUGGUCUCAGACCUGACUAUGUCAACAGUGAACUCAGGCUCAUUUCUCCAGGAAAUAAAUCAGGAAUAACUUUUAAAUGAGAAUAUGGGCACCUCCAGACUGUUGCUAUUUUUAGGUGGGAUUCAAUCACGUACUGGCAAACUCAGGUUGCACAAUUCAACUUGAUUAGAUUUCCCCUGCUCCCCAAAUUGGACUUGCGAUGGGAGAGGGAUGGGAAAAUAUGCUCCAAAGAGUCAGAUGACAAUGGCUUGGAGAAACACUGUAGAAUUUUCCUGCAAAUAAACCAAUAGGCAGUGUGAUGGCCUGGGAAUCUGAUUCAGAAGCUGAAUCUGAGGAGUCCCAGCCUGCACAGGAGUCCCCGCCUCCAGGGCCGGCUGAGCCGGGGCAGGGGCUUGAAUCUGAAGGGCCUGCACCUGUGCCGGGUCCUCAGGAGCAGACACCAGAUGUAUCCACUCUGGCUCCGGAGGUGAUUGAGGACCCAUUGCCUGCAGGUGCGCCUCUCCCAGCCCUGUCAGGGGAAGGUGAAGCUGCCCCUGGGUCCAGUAACCCUCCAGCCUCUCCUGAGCUGCAGAGGCUCAGGGCAGAGAGGCGGAGGGAACUAAGUGCUCUCAGGAGGAGUGCUCGCCCUAAGGCCAGGAGAGGCGGGUCACCUGUGGGCCGGGACCGCCCCUGGCCUCAGGGGAGAUAAAAGCCAGUCAGCUCAGUCCCAGGUUGCGGGAGCAAUGACAUUGGAAACCUGUUUCUGCCAGCACCCAGACCUGUUUUUCCGGAGUUCCCAACCACGCCCUGCUUCUUGCUUUGGACCCCGCUUCCCCCUUGGUGGACAGUCUCCAGACCCUCGGCCCAGGACCGGACUCUGACCACGCCUCAUGGUAACACCCCCCCCCCGGGACCAGCACAGGCAGUCAAUGAAGUAGUAGUAGUAGUAGUAAUUUAUUUAUACCCCACCCAUCUGGCUGUGUUUUCCCAGCCACUCUAGGUGGCUUCCAACAAUGUCAUCUGACCUCCGUGAAAAAAAUUGUGCAAACGAAUCAGGAUGAAUAAAGUGGUCAUCCAGAAGCAGGCAUGGUGGAAUCUGGCCAAUUUCAUUUUCUCAUUUAUUUCAUUUCUCUAAUCUUAAAUUCCUUUCUCCUGAUUUCUAUAGGAGUUAGCAUUUAAAAAAAAAUAAAUAUCUGCAUGAAGAUUUACCAGCAUUUUAGUGUGAAAUUAUUUUAUUAACAGUAUUUGGAGCCUGCUCUUCAUCGAAUAUUUUCAAAGUAAUAAAAUGAAAUAGAGAAAAAUAAACAUUUGUCAUGAGUCCUGAGCCACUCCUGGGCUCAGGAGUGGAGUGGCAGACUGUGAUGGAAGUGAGGGGUGGGGCAGAGGCUGGAGGAGGGGGGGUUUCCCCCUCCUAGGAGGCAGUUGACUGGCUAGGGAAGCAGGAUUCACAUCUCCCCUCUUCUCUCCUGUGUGCUACAACGGAUUCUAGGGAUGGUGUUAGCCCACCACUAGGAGUGGAGGAAUCAAAAUCAGAAGGAAAGAGCACAGCUAGGUAACCCAGAGCCCAGCAGCAGCCCCAUAGCUGGGAGCCAAUACAUCCUCCAUGACACAAUGAGCACCUGCAUUAGGCUUGCCAUAUUUCAAAAAGUAAAAUUCCUAACCCCUGCAAAGUUCCCUGAUAUUGUGCCGAUUCGACAAAAUUCCCCCUGACGCCAUUUUUACUCACGAAAAUGAGGACAUGUCAGGAAUUUUUCUGACGUAUUACAAGUCUAAACUCCAUGCUUCACAAUCCCACAGGGCACAGGAGUCUCACAAGUAAGCAUGCCUUGCCCUGUCUUUAACAGCUUGGCUGGUGGGUGUGCCCACCCAUUGGGACAACUCCAUUGCUUCUGUGCAGUUGUGAACUUUUUGUCCUGAUGUUGCCCUGGGCUCCUCUCUUUGCACAAUAAUGGACCUGAACUGGAACUAGUUUCUUUAAAAAGUGUAGUCUCCACAUGCUGGAUUGAGGGACGCAAGUUAGAUGUAACUGAGCUGAAGAAAAGAGGCACCGAUCACUGACAAAGCCACUGUGUUGACACCUUUCCAAAGAGGUCCCUUCAAGAGGGGAUUUACUACAUCCAUCUCAUUCCUGUUUAAAGAAGACAAGCACCAGGAUGAUUUAUUUUCACCAUGCGAGUGAUGUUUCCUCUUGUGCUACGAAAACAGUUUUUGCAAUGUGCAGGAAUGGCCAAGCGGUGUGGGGUUAAUAAUGAAUGCAGUGCUUAAUGUGUGGUCACUGGGCCAAUCAAAAUAUCUCGUGCUGCUUAAACUGUUAAUGUUUUUUCAAAGCUGGCCCCGAGCAUCAGGCUGAAGCACUAAAUAAGGCACAUAAGUGGCAGACACCUUAGCUCGGCUAUGCCUGGUUGCUCUGCGCUUUGUUUUAUUAGCUGAAGGAAGCAUGCUAGGGCAAAACACAAACACUUGGCACUUCGUGGACUGUACAAAAUCUUCAAGGGCCUAGGUAGAGAAUGGCCAUUAAAAAGAAAGCGUCGUGCGAAUGUCCAUGUGCAAGGUUUCCAAGGCAACGUGCAGCCGAGAAUUUGUAUUCUGUUAGGCAGUGUCAAAGGCAUAAACUCUUUGACCUUCCCUCUAAUCACAGCACUUGUAAUGGGAAUAUGUAUUAAAUGUCUCCAACGGCCAAGCCUAAUUUGAACAACUGUGAAAACACUGCUAAUUGCAGAAAGGCUUUGGUGAUUUAAAUAGGAAUAACUUAAGCCUCCUUCUGAACAGGGCAUUAUGGACCAAAUGGGGAAUACACCAUGUGCCAAAGGGCUCUGCUCAUCUGCAUGGAUUAAUGCACUGUUAUUAACAUAUCCUGCAUAUCAUUUUUAUCCAAUGGAUAGAGUGCGACUAGUGGAACAUCUUACUGUGAGGUACAAAAAAACCCCUCAUGCACCGCAGUGUGGAAAGGUUAGGGGUGGGGAACUUGUGGCCCUCCAGAUUUUGCUGAGCUGCAACUCCCAUCAUUCCUCACCAUUGGCCAUGCUGUCUAGGGCUGAUGUGAGUUGCGGUUCAGCAACAUUUGGUUCCCCAUCCCUGGUCCAGAUGGAGAAAGCAAACGGGAGGCAGGGUGUGCACGAGACCUGGAAUGUGUCCGAGACUCGUGUCGCUAAUUGACUGAUACUGUUUCCAUGGGAGGCCGGGAGAUGACGUGGAGGCAUGAUGGCCUUUGUCUCCCUGGCAGUAUCGCAACAGGAGGAAGGGUGUGUGGUGGGGGUGGUCUGCCCCGGAUGUCACCACUGAGAGGGGUGACAAAAUGCCAGGAGGCACUCACCGUGUGGCCUGCAGUGCGCCUGAGCCACUCAUCUCGCAGGCUCCAUGCUGGCCCAAACAAUCUGCUCCCCCUCAGCUAUAGGGCAGCUGAGUGGGAGCAGGCAGGCAGACUCCUCAGAGGCCCCAUGGAGCGUCCUGCCCCGGCUCGCCCCACCCCACGGCAGCUGGCCCUACCCCUGGGCGCAGGGCAUGCGCACCACCCCAGGUGCCCGAUUGGCUUGCUCCACCACUGAUGGGAGGGGCAAAUUGUAGGGUUUUGCAUGCAUGUCUAUUGAGUCCUUUAUUGUCAGUUUGAUUUUGUGAUUUAAAUGCUGGCUUGGCUACCGAAAAGGGGAAAGGCAUACAUAUGUUAAACAAAAUCAUAGUCUUUGAUAAUAUGGCUGGAGAAAGCUGAUCCUGGAGCUCUUCUCCCCAGAGCAGUAUAAUCCAGAGUAAAACAGAGGGGCAAAGUCUGUGCCAUCAAAGUCCUGAGGACUGAUUGAUUUAAGACAUAAUGGCAUGGUUGCAAAAAACCCCUGUUGAGCCCUGAUCUCCAGCAGGAUGAGAUUGCAGGAGCGGGUCUCAAGCUAUAGGCAGUCAAAAAAACCAGCAGCAUAAAUCUUAAAUUCAGUUGACCAGUGCAGGUACUACCUAGAAUGUUGAUCUAUGUUCCUACUACUUUUCAGACAAGAUUGUGGUUUCCCUUUGCUUUUGGGUGAAAAUAAAGAAUUUAUUUCUUCAGAAAGGCUCAGAAUCAACCUUACCAAGACAUUGCAUAAGCAGAGUAAGUUUUCCAAUUGCCAACAAGUAACUCAACAUAAUGGAUGCUCAGUUGGAUCCUCAAUGCGCUGGAACAAUAAAUUUAACAUGCUGAUAAGAACCCACAGAGAACUAAAUAGAAAUGAUGGACACUGAAGGGUCCCUCCCUGUUUUUUCCUUUCCAAAGAAACAGGCUUCUAUUGCUUUUGCAGUUUCUUCCCUUACUACUUAGGGCUGAGAAUAUCACAAGAACAGACUUUCACACUAAAUGUUGGCAGUUCUGCUUCGGGACCCAUCUGUCCUGCUUUGGAACCUAAGAAAAAUAGAUUAGCCUGAGUUGAUUUUAGGAGGUGGGGUUUUUUGGCAAAGGCAGAAGGAUUGCCAGUGGGAAGACUGUGGCUCUCAUUAUAUCCAAGCCAUUUCACCUGUCAAUCUAACUUCCCGUUCUCAAAAAAGUAGAAUUCAAAAUAGGCCAGAACAAGCGUUGUUAAAAUGGAUGUAAAUCCACUGAUUUCAAGGGAACCACAUAAUUUUACGCCAUCUGGGCAGAUGGUUCUCAGGAUUAGACACAAUUAGUAGUGUUUUUCCUACGUUGAAUCAGUUUCAGAAGCUGUCCUCUAGGAAUGAUCUAAUGAAUUUUUCAAAGCCAAACUCACCAAAAUAAACAACUUGCUUCUUCUUUCCAGAAUACAUGGGUGCAUGAAUGUUUGACUGGAUUAAGAUUUGUGCUAUCGUUUUUUAAAGGCUCCCUAUAGUUGCCACCUGCUCCUGGAAUCUCACCCAUCAGUGGCUUCAAGGGCUCUUUUUGCAUAUGAACAUAUGAAUCAGCAUCUUUCUGCAUGGUGAUUUAGUUUUGCAUAACAAAUAUGCAGAAUUCCUCCUUCCCUUCAUGAGAAGUUCUGCAUUAUUGUAAACAUAAUAAUCCAUCCUCAAGUAUUGUUAUAUCAUCAGGGUGCAGGAGGGCACAGUGGGAAGAGCAUGGGACUCCUGAGUGGGUACAUCCCUACUGAAAAAGGAUAGCAUCUCAUCAACGUUUGCCUGGUUGCAACACUUCCUUCUGAAGGCAAGAUGCGUUCUGGAGCCGAAGAGCUCUGAAUCAUUCAAUAAGAGUCAGAAAUCUGCUUCCUGCUUGUUGGGUGGAUUUUGCCCAUGAUACUCUCUUAUCCACCAAGCAGAUCAUCAGAUUUGUUUUGAUCCAGCUGAGUCACGGGCUGUUAAGCCUUUUCAUCCUAUAUGCAAAUGGGGAGAAGUGCAAUCUUGUGGCAUCCCUAUGAUUCCCCCUUUACAUAAUUAUAUAAUGUUAGGGCACUUUGGACAGCAAACAAGCAAGCAGUUUCUGUUGGAGUGCAAUAGGUAUCAUGCCCUACAACUAUACUCAUUACCAUGGGCGCAAUAUCUAGAGUCUUGGGACAGUAUCUUAUUUCUCAAUAUACUCCCACUCGCUGGAUCAGCACCUUGUCAUGGUGAGUGGGCUUGCAUGUUCCUAUGACCCUUGUGAGCGAAGCCGUUGGGAAUCUCGUACUCCCAGCAGGGUCACCCAAGGCGGUAAGGUCAAAGGGAAGGAGCUAGACAAAGAAUGAUCCAAGAAGUCCUCAAUGGCAGAACAGGCGGAUGAUAACAAGCAGUAUGUUACAAUGGUUGUGAAGGAGGAUGAAGGCUGCAGCAGAUAGGAAUCCAGUGGUUUGUCGUGACUACUGCAUGCCAUCGGAACAGAGCCCUACUGCGAAGACUGUGUGUUGGUCAGCAUGCACUGAUCUACACACAUAAAACAAAUUCAUCCACAGGUGUCUUCAAAAAACCCAACCCAAACCCCAAAAGUCCCAUGGAGAUCAGCAAAUGGUAACGGGGGCAGGAUUGUGAAAUCUGGAAGCCCCUAAUCAUGAACCGGCACAUGGGUGGUGGAUACAGAUUCAGUCGUUCUGACUCAAGGAACGAGGCAGUUGAGCAGCUUAGCAGCUGUAUCCAUGACUGAGCAGCCCUUUUUAGGCUCCACUCUGCUCACCCUGAAAAGGGGGAGGGGCUAGAAAAGGUGCCCUAAACAUAGUCUGCCUCCCUUUUUCCCUGACUGGAUUACCGCGCCCAGUGGGGUCACCACCUAGCGGUCGUAAAAGACAAAUGAACUUUGUAACAUGGAAUAUACGGACUUUGUCAGAUAACACAGACAGCGAGCGUCCUGAAUGCAGAACUGCCAUCAUUGCAAGAGAGCUGCAACGUUUUAGCAUUGAUAUUGAAGUGCUUCAAGAGACUCGAAGAACAGGUGAGGGACAACUGAAGGAAGAAAAAGGAGGCUACACAUUCUUCUGGAAAGGUCUAUCUGAACAAGAACAUUGAAUACAUGGGGUUGGCUUCGCUAUCAAAAAUGACAUUGUGAAGCUCAUGUCAGAAGUCCCUACCAGCAUUAAUGAGUGACUCUCAACCCUUUGAAUAAAGCUCACUGCAGCUUACCUGCCAACUGUCUUGGUUUAGCUGAGUCAGUAAUAAUGGAGAUGUGAUAUUUAGAUGGGCCUAUGGAACAACCAAAGGUAAAAUAACAUUGGUGCCUGUUUUUCUGUAUCUUGAGCUUGGGGAAACCAUUUGUUGAGAGAGCAGCUGUAUUUUCUUUGCCAUGCUAAUAUGAGAAGCUAUCAUGCUGGCACAUUUAGCAUUGCUAACAUACUGUACUUUCCCCCUGACCGAUGCCAGAAGAUCUGCCUGAUAAUGAUGCGUACUUGCAUGAACAGGCAGAAUGCAACAACAAUUAAUUCUGCACACUAGGCAGAAGCCAGACAGCGCAGUGUUAAUCAUUCGCUGGAUGUAAAUUUGACAGGCUGCUUUCGCUGGCACUUAAGAGGGCUUUUAAGCCUGCCAUGUCUGUGCACAUCCAGCAGAUUUUGGCACUUUGAAUUCCAUGUCAACUGAUGCUUCAUUGUUGGCAGGGGGCAGAACAGGCACUUUGCUUUACUCAGGGAAAGCAAAGGUAACUUCACACACAGAGGAUACCCCUGAAACACUCCAUACAGAUCAAUCUUUACUUAGCAGGUAGCAUAGGAGCCAACUCCUAGGAGCUGAGGUCCCUUUGCCCCCCCAAUAAAAUAUUUGAGUGGGCUGGGUCCCCCCAAAGUUGAUGGGCAUUGCCAUUCAAAUGGGGUAUGCGUGCCUCAUUAUGUGAUUGAUUAUGCAAAGUGGGGCUUACCUGGGUUCCCCAAUAUCUUAUUCAAGUUGGCACCCCUGUCAGGUAAGGAUCAGAAUGUGUGGAGUUUGAGAAAGCAAGAAAAGGAAGCUCACUCACUGUCCAUCUCACAACUAAUAUGCACUUCCUAUGUGACUUCUUAUUAUAGACCAGGAUUAGAGAACCCCUUUCAGCUUAGAAUCAUAGAAUUGUAGAGUGGGAAGAAACCAUGAUGAUCAUCUAGUCCAACCCCUUGCAAUGCAGGAAUCUUAAGCUUGAGGGCCAAGUGGGGGGUGGGGGGUUAAGAGGCAGAAAUGGGCUGAGCAACAAAUUUAAGUUACCGUAUUUUUCCGUCUAUAAGAUGCCCCCAUAUUUUGGGGGUACUCAGAUUUAAGAAAAUGGGGUGAGAUGUAUCAGUGUAUAAGACGCCCCCUAAUUUUUGACAUUAUUUUUUAAGGAAAAAACCUAGUCUUAUACAUGGAAAAAUAUGGUACCUUUGUGCAGUAGGCUACUUUAUUCACACACACACCUUCUUCAGCUGUAGUUUGUUAAGGUUGCUAAGAAUUGCUAGGAAACACCUAUUUCCAUCUCAAAACUAUAAUUCCCAGAGUUCCCUGGGAAGAAGGCCUGAUUGCUAAACCACUCUGGGAGUUGUAGCUCUGUGAGGGGAAUAGGGAUCUCGUAACAGCUCUCAGCACUUUUGAGAAACUGCAUUUCCCAGUAACCUUUGGGGGAAGCAAUGACUGUUUAAUGUGGUAUGAUACAGCUUCAAAUGCAUAGUGCAGAUUGUGUGUGUCUGUGUGUGUAGGCAAUUAUAUUUGUCUCUAUAAAUUUUUGAAACAACACAUUUUCAGUUAACAACAGAAGUUAUCCACAAUUCGACAUACUUCUGUUGUUUUCCGAGUUAUCAGAAGUAGUCUAACGGAAAACGCAAAUUAACAAAAUAAGUCAUGAAAAAAUCCCAAAGUGGCAACUGAAUAGUCUAUAUAUGCACCUCUGGUAUUUCUAUUUCCUUCUGGAAAAACUCCCUCCUCAUACAUCACUUGUUGCAGAUUCCACAGCGACGCCACAUGCUUUUGCAACAGCUGCCUGCAUAGCUCUCUUUCUCUCUCACACGAAAUCUUGGGAGUCUGUUUGCAUGGACUUGAUUGUGUGGCUGCACAUCCUGCAUGCAUCGGAUAGCUCAGUGCCACAGCUAAUUUCUACCCACUCAAGAGAACUUAAAUACCAAAAAACCUUCUCAUUCCUGGGAGCAGCCCAACAUUAAAAUUCCUCUGUCGAAGUUGUUUGGAUCGGCCUCCUUCCCCAACCCUGGUACCCUCCAGAUGUCUAGGAACAAGCACCAUCAACUCCACCCAACAUGGCAAAUAGUGAGGAACGGUGAGAGCUGUAGUCUAAUAACAAUUUAGGGGAGACUGUUUCCGGUUCUCGUCACACAACAUGCAAAAUCAGCUAACCUCUACAGUGAUAAUGUACUUUGUGCUUUGUUGACAUACUGAGAUGUUAGACAUCCUGUGGUAAUCUUCUUUUAGAGGGGGUGAGGCAUUGCAUUUUUGGACAAGCACUUUUAAGAACCUUGUAUUGCACACCCCUUUAAAUUUGGCUUUUCAUUUACUUUAUUUGUUUUAUUUUGUUGCUAAAUCACUUUGAGACAUACCUUUGUAGUAUAAACCAACUGACAGAUGUAAACAACAACAACAACCGCAUAUUUACAUGUUCCGUGGAAGUGAAAGAGGAAUCGGAGGGUCUAUGUCAGGGGUCAGCAAACUUUUUCAGCAGGGGGGCGGUCCACUGUCCCUCAGACUUUGUGGGGGGCCAGACUAUGUGUUUUUUUUGGGGGGGGGAGAAUGAAUUUCUAUGCCCCCCAAAUAACCCAGAGAUGCAUUUUAAAUAAAAAACACACAUUCUACUCAUGUAAGAACACCAGGCAGGCCCCACAAAUAACCCAUAGAUGCAUUUUAAAUAAAAGGACACAUUCUACUCAUGUAAAAACAAGCUGAUUCCCAGACCAUCUGCGAGCCAGAUUUAGAAGGUGAUUGGGCCGGAUCCAGCCCCCGGGUCUUAGUUUGCCUACCCAUGGUCGAUGUCAAGAAAGAACCACCGCUCACAGCAGUUUGUGAAGAAAUAAACAGAGAAGUUUUGUCCUUCCUUCUUUAGGCUUUAUACAUACAGUAGAAAACUCUUUCAGAGCCACACAGCCAUCACAGCAUGUGCUUCCUCACUAGAAACCAUUCAACUCUGCUUGAUUGCUAAGCAACACCCCCCCCCUUAACUGACUUACUGAUAGCAGAAUUAACCCUUAAGUUACAGACUGAAUGAUCCCUACUGUUGCCCUACCAGCAGAUACACAGUCUAGUUGUUAAGGUUGUAUCUCUAUCAGGGUCAUGGCCAAAGGGAGUUGCAGAAAACCAACCCUAGAUCUUUCAAUGAGCACUAGGCACACUUCCAUAGUCUUGCUUCUCCUUUGCAGGAGAGUUAUGAUUACUACCACUGUAAGUAUUUUGUCUUAGCGGCUUUCAGUUAGGCUUGAGCUAAGAAGCAAUAAGAAUUAAUGCAUGACUGUGGCACGGGUCUUAAAGAACUGUGCCAGCGACACUGUCUUCAUUUAUUUCACCGAGGUUUCUGCCAAGGCAUCACUUCAAGAACUGGUCUAUUGAGAGCAUAAAUGCUGAUGCUGAUUUGCCACGUGUGUGUGUGUGUGUGUGUGUGUGUACCAAAUGGCCCAAUUAUUCUUCUCUUCAGUUCCUUCUCCCUUAAAAAAAACCCCAUCAGAGCAUUUAAGCCAAGAACAGUACGGUAUAAUUAAUUACAUGAUGUGUGCAAUAGAUCUUCUAGAACUUAUUCUUUCAGUGUGUCGUGACUGUUUUUAAUUAUAAUUCUUCUCUCAGCUUUGCAAAGCUUAUAAUUAUGGAGAGAUACAUGUGUGCCUGUAUCUGCUGAGGGACAUGGAAUAAGUACAGAUGAUAUCUCAUCAACUCUUCUUUUUUUCAGAAAUGUUCUGCAGGCUGAGGCUUUUGGAUUUCUGAAGGCUUUUUGUCUGGCAUAUAGGUCUUCAGAGCAAAAAAUAAGGCAGAAUGGGUCUGUGUUCUUACAUGUUCAAGUUUGUUGACUUGCCAUCAGUUUGCUGUGACAACAAAGGAAACUUCCAGGUAGAAGGAUCCCAGGCAAGCCAAAUUGAAAUGGAUCUUAGCGGACAUGCUGGGUGGAUUCUUGCCAGCAGGUUACAAUCUUCAUUGAAAUGACCCCUGAAAAGAUACACCGAAGGUUCAAAAGGCUUAUAGUUUAUUCUUAUUAUCCUGUAGAAGAGAGGUGAGGAACCUUUGGCCUGGAACCUGAAUGUGGUCCUCCAGAUUUUCCAUCUGGCCCUUGAGACUCUCCCCAGAUCAUGCCUCUCACUGUUCCUGCUCCAUGUCUCCCUCAGGUGCUUUUGCCUGACUGGGUACAUCCUUGAAGUGAGGCAGUGCCUGUUGCAUCAGGAGGGAGAGAUAUUGUCAGGGGUUCAGGGACAGAGGCACAGGGUAGGCAGGAGAUGGAGAGCGAUGGGGAUGAAUCCCAGGACAGCGAGGAAGAAGAUGACAAUGACUCAAGAGAUUCCAUGAGUCUUUCCAGCGAAUCAGAGGAUUCCCAGAAGGGGGCGCCGGUGGUCAAGGCCAGGGGAGCCCCAGGGGGAACGUGUCAGGAGCAGGGGGCCAGCGGGGGAUCCCAGAGUGGCAGCUGGGCAUCAGGACCAGCCUCCCCGCCAGAGUGCAGCGAAGGGGGUGGAGGUUCCAGUGUAUCAGGGGAAGCAGCUCCGGCAGCAGAGAAGGGAGGGAGGUCGGAGCAAGCCACCCUCCCGGAAGGGGAGGGGAGUAGUGAAGGGAGUAGUGUAGCUGUCAAAAGGAAGGUUAGAGGUUGGGCGCGCGCGCCAAGUUCAAAUGUGGAGGCGCGCGGAAGUACAGGGAGCCCGGAGGAGGGGCCAGGUCCCAAAGCCCGCAGGAGGGGGGAAGAGCAAUCUGGGGAUUCCGCGUCAGGGGAAUCCAGGAGGGGCGAAACCCCAGCGGGCAGGAAGACCCUGCGGAAAAGGAAAGAGAGGAAGAGGUGGAGCAGCGCAAGCCUCUUAAACUGGUGCAGGGGAGGGACUGACUCAGAGGGGACUUCAACGGUCUAAGUGUAACAGACGUGGGGCUGCGCGCCUCGGAUGUGAAGCAAACAAUGAACUCCAAUAAACACUUUUGUAUAUAAGAAGAAGUUGGCGUUGGUCUUUUGUGAGCUGAGACUUGAGGCAGCCCUGACAGAUAUGUUUCUGGGUAUGAAACCUGUGACUUGUGAAUGGCUGUCAUGAGGCUACAGUACAAAGAUGAGAGUCAAAUCGGUUGCAAAGGGUAAAAGAGUAUUGGGAAAUGAUCCAUAAUGAAUUGGAAAAAAAUGUUUAAAAGUGUCCACCCCCCAAAAAAACACACACACCAGAGUCCUUUCUGUUGGGGAUAAUUCAGACUGAAAUUCCCAGGUGUCAAGAAAGGUUAUUUAUGUACUCAACAACUGUGGCCCAUGUUUUGUUAGCCCCAAAAUGGAAAAUGAGCGAGGCCCCAACUAAAGAAGAGUGGCAACUUAAGUUGACAGAAUAUGCGCAGCUUGCAUACUUAACAUAUAGAAUAAGAGAACAAGAACAACAAACGUUUAGAGAAGAUUGGAAAAUGUUUAUUGAAUGUAUGGGAAAUAACUGUGUACAGCUGAAAACACUGGCAGCAUUAAGAUAAAUUCAACAGUGUAAAUAAGUUAUGAUGGGUGUAAUAAUGGAAUACUGAAAGGUAUAGUUUCUGUAAAAUAUGCAGGGAUUUAUGACAUGUAAAAUGAACCAUGGAAAGAGAAGGGAAGUCACUGAUAUCUUAAGGAUGUGUAAAUGAGUAUUUUAAACUGUAAAACAG